GAAGCCAAACUCCCAAAUGCCGGCGGAAAAUCGGAGCAUAUGGUGGUCAACUUCACUUCAAAACGCAUGGCGAUCAAAGUGAGAUGUGGCAAUGCACUAUUUCGUGUUGAGCCAACUCACAUGAUCAUCGAGCCGAACAAGUGCCGCCAACUGACAAUCAAUCGGAUGCCCGGACCAAUUCAAAAGGAUAAAGCGAUCGUUCAAUACCUCCAAAUUGAAAAUGAUGUGCAAGAUCCGAAGGCUGCGUUCAAAGCAGCGGACAGUGCUGGAACUAAGAUUCCACACUUGAAGAUCAAGCUGGUGGCCGGAGCAAGUGGAGGUCGUCAGAUGUCGAGAGAGGUGGUGGAUGAGUAGUUUGGGAAAAAAACAGGAUAUAAUAGAUCUCAUUUUGAUAUUAUAAUAAAUUGUUUGGUAUAGAUUUUAGGCGGCUACUUUUGUAAGGAACGCCAUUAGCUUAAUUGUGCACUUCUAUCAGACAUCGCUCGAGUUUUUCAUAUUAACACCAUAUUGCACUUUUUCAUUAAGCUAGUAUUCUAUUGAUUCCAGCAAACAAUUUCCAACUCGACUGACUUGUUCAUUCGUUGGAACAAUGUCUUCUCCACAGUAAACAUGGCAUUUUGUGUCUCAUUUCAAUACUGUAUCAUGACUUUCUGCAGCUACCAAUUGUAUCACGAUAUGGAAGAGAAACUAAGCCUCUUAUCGGGAGAAGUUCGAAAAUUGCAUCUCCAAAUAUUCAAAACUCUGUUGCUUCAGGUAGCUUCUAUUUUUUAAAAUCUGAAAUUUAGUAUGCCUACUGGAAUAUUUUUGGGUAUAUUCGCGCUUUAUCCAGCAUUAGACGCAUGUAUUCUGAUGUACGUCAUCACAGACUACAGAAGAGCCUUAAAAGGUAUACUAGAACUGAAAAUCUUGUUAAAUGUUUUUUUUUCAGAUGUUCUGAAGUUUUUCAAUCCGAUAAACAGGACAGCUGCUGACAACGUCUCUGUAGCUCCUCAUCUUUCUACAAAUAAUUUUACAAUCUGACAAAUAACUCAUGGAACCUAAGUUCUGAAUUUGUAUUUGGCUGCUUCAAUUUGUUUUCUAUUUUCUUGAUUGCUCUUAAUAAAUCUUGAAUAAAUUCUCGUUUUCAAAUAGAUAGCAAAAUUCAAGCAGAAAAAAUUCUGAAAAUAAUAUUUAUGCAUGUACAGUUACGAUCUUCUCGUGGAGAAACUGUGUUCAUGUUUUAAUUUCCAUAAUGAGUGGACCACAUAGCUAGAAAAAACUGGGCCUAAAGAUGUGCCUGCAACAACUGCAGUAAUAUCAAUAAACAACUGCAGUAAUAUCAAUAAACAACUGCAGUAAUAUCAAUAAAGAAUCUUUAUUUCUCAUCUUUCAGAACACUAAUCGGAGUUUCACUAAUAUCUUUGACAAUAUCUCGUUUGAGCAUAAACUUUAUGAAUUCUUCUUCAGUGAACAGUGUGUACAUCUUGUCCGGAUCAGAUUUGUAGACGCUCAAGUUUAUCUGAAAAAAAUUGUUUCACAGUUAAACGGUCAAAAUACAAACCUUUCCAUCGUGAAUCAAAAACAAAGGUCCAAGAUUUGCAUGGUUGUAUGGGUGAGAUCCAACAUUGAAGAGCUCCUUUCUUGGAAAAACUUCCAUCAUGACACCACCGUGGAUUGCGACAAGUGAAUUCAAUUUCAGCACUGAAAAAUUAUAAAAUGACCUUCAAAGGAUUGAAUCGAAAUUGCUCACAAUUCUUGCAUUCCACCAUGACAACCGCUGAGUAUACUCCAUACAAAUAUGGAAUGGCUCCUUUUGCCAUGGCUUCACUCCAUUGAAGAACUGUAUUGUAAUAUGAUCCCUUGUAUUUAACUUUUUCCACCAAAUAUUUUGAAUCCUGUUCGAUAACUGUCUCAUUUUCCAAACAAUCCACCAUCCACUGUUCUUUGACAAUAAUCGCACCAUUGAAUACCCAAAGUAGUAGAUCGAGACUAUCAGUUUCCAGAGCUCCGUUCUCAUCUGUCUUCACAAUGACAUGUGUAGUGUUUGAAUUAGCUUCAUCAGAUGUCUGAAAUAUGAUUUAAAUAAGAAGUUUUUGGUGCAAAGAAUAACUCACAAUAGCUUGAAACUUCUCCAUAAAUUGGUUGGUUAUGUUGAUGUCGGUUCUUUCGUCUAUCCAAAUAUGAAAUGAUGUGGUUGGAAACUUCUGUGGAACAUCUCAAAAUUUUCAAUUUUAUUUAGCUUAUCACAAGACAUUUGAUGCUUACUCAUUUUGUGCUUCUUCCCAUUUGCUUUUUUGUACAAUGCUCGAAUCUUGUCAAAAUUUUCAACCUUGUCCUUUGGAAUGUCUUUAUAUACGAGUGGGAUCAUCUGCUCCGGAGUUCGAUUCAUCGUAUUCAGCAGUUCCCGAUCAGCUCCAUUUUUAAUGAGAAGCUUUACAAUUUCAGGUAGAGCGGACUUGGUUGCAGUGUGCAGAGCGGUAUUUCCGAACUCUGAAUAUAGCUUUUUCGUCUAAAUUAGAUCUUCUUGAAUCUUACUGUUAAAUGCAUUUAUGUAGGAUCCUGCCUUUACAGCAUUCACCGCAUUUGUUUUGUUAAUUUCCCGUACUGCAUCCAACAAGGUGUUCUUUCCAUCCUGAUUGUCAAGGAAAAGCUGGAAAAUGUUGAUUCAAAAAAUGUAGAUUUAACAUGAGAAGCUUACAGAAUAUCUCCACCUGUUCUCAUAAUGAACUGGUUUUCCAACAUAAUAUAAAUACAAAUUUGUAUACUUUGACCUUCCAUUUUGAGUAAACCCGUAGGCAACAAUACAAAUGAGACCAAUCAAUAUCAUCACACCAAUGCAAAUAAUAAUGAUGUAUAUCCAAGAAAGUUGAUUAUCAACCGCAAUUGUAACGAUAUCAAGCUUCUUGUUGCCAAAUAUCUCAUCAAAAUAGGUCAUCAAGGAAGAAAUUGUGAUUUCAGCUCCUUUGAGUAUAGCCUCGUGCCGUGCGAAAUCUAGAUCCAAGUUUUUUAUAGACUCGAAAUACUUUGCAGCUUCUUGCUUCUCCAGCUUGCUAGACUUCUUCAAUAAUCCUGAAAGUUCAAUGUUUUUUACUCGGUAAGAAUUCUAAAAACUAUUUUUUUUUCCAUUUUAACUACUUACUGAAUAGUCUAUAUAAAUCCUUAGGAUCUCCACGGAUACCAUUGAUUUUUGAGGCAUCAUCGAACACUUUGACCAUCUCUGAUAAAUUCCCAUUUUUCCUCAACAUCUUUGAUUUUGCAUCAAGAGCAUCAAUCUUUUGGAGCAUUACUUGGAGUUUUUGCUCCGGAUCCAGCCAUUCACGGAGUCCCAUUCCCGAAAUUGUCUUCAAAACUUGUACAGGGAAAUCUGGGUAAUUCGAAAGAAGCUGGUGAUUUUGUCGUGCUUCUUCAAGAUCUUCUAACACGUGCGCACAUGUUCCGAGACUCGCAGUAAAAAGUUCAGGGGUCUUCAAUUUCAGAACAAGAUUGUGACUGGAAUUCGACUGAGAUGUGAUCAACUUGAUUUGUUUUUCCACUUUCCAAAGUUGGUUCUUAACCUGAAAUUUAUAAAUAAAAGCAAUGAAGUUAUUAUUUACUAACCUUGGCUAGCUCAUCGAGGUACUGGUUCAUUUUCAGCACCGUCUUAUUUCCAGCAAACUGUCGAACAGUAAUCAUUGCUUCAAUUACCUCCAAUACUCGAAGCGGUUGCAUGAACUCUUGACUGCAAUUUUUAAAUAUUUUUUGGGCAUAGACAUAAUAAUAUUAACCUCAAACAUUUCGAUAUUCCCCUCAAUUGUGACGUGUCCAACAUUUCGACAAGCAGUUUGUCUAUUUUAGUGUCGUUUGGUAAAGAUUUAUUUGUGAUCACUUUAAUAUUUUUUAAGUUUUGUGAAAGAUGUGUCAUGAAGUUGUGAAAAUCAACCUCCCUUUUAUCUAUCUGAUCAAUGAUGAUUUUGAGACGAGUCUUCACCCUCAACGAAUUGGUUUUGUUCACUUUUUGUUUUUCGAUUUCAUUGCUUAGCUUCUUGUAGUAUUCGUCAAAAAACGAUUUUAUGGUGCGGUUGGGGCGUAUGGUUAAGAUUGAGUUUAUAUUGAUAUACGAGACCUGUUUUCUGAUUUGGGCCAAAUAUUUCAUAUAAUUUGUAGCUGGUGAUAUAGCUUGUUGAAAGUCUUGAAUCAUUUCCUGAAGGGAAGAGUUGGGUGUCUCCAAAGAAGUAACAGAAAAAUUCGAAAAGCACUCCGAUAAUUUGUUACUCGCGUUUUGAAUAAUUGACUCAUAAUUUGCAAAGUUAAGGGACAUUUUCGAAAUAACGUCAAGAAUAGGUCCUGCUUUUGCAACUUCUGAGGACUCAAAAUCCAAGGUGAGAGCAGUGAAAUUGUGCCAAGAAGUAUCGAGUGAAGUGACGGCUUCCGAAAUGUCAUGGAAUAUCUUUAGUGCAUGGUUCAGGUCCUUUGUUUUCGAUUCUUUAGCAAUAUUUCUUCUGAACCAAGGGCUACUCAAAUCCUUGGAGAUUUUAGAGAAAUCUCUUGAGCUUCUGAAGCCCGCACUGUAUUUUAGAACUGGUUUUGUUGGCGCAAUGUGAUGUUUAAUGAUUUCAAACAGAGAACGGUUGAGUUGAGUCAUAACCUGGGCAUGGUAAUUAGGAUGUACACUCUUCCAUAAAGAUUUUGUCGCUUUCAGACUUGAAAGAACCCGGAAAAGCGUUGCAUUUGUAGCUCGCAAUGAGUCGCUUAAUGCAUCAAAUUUUGCAACCAACCGUAUAAUAUCUUCCCAUUUUCUAAUCAUUUCAAGUCCACCCCAUAUCGGUAAAGCAUCAAGCUCAGCCUGCAACUGUGGGAAAUAGUUUAGGCAGUCGGAAAAAUUUGGUUUGUUAGCGACAAAUGUAUCAGCGAAGCCCGGGAAAUCAUUUGUGGCGUAUUCCGACAAUUCGUUGUUGAUAGAGUCCCAAAAACUUUUGAAAUUAUCCGUAUCCACUUGUGAGCAACUACUCCUGAACAUCGAGUUGUUUGCAAUUAUUGUCGUUAGAUUGUUCAUUAGGUUCUUGAUAGGGUACUUGAUGGCAUCCAAGAAGGUAGACGUUUGUUGAGAAAAGAGUGAUAGAAACUUCAAAUUGUUUUUCAAAUCGGUCAUGUUAUCACCAACCAGACUAUUCGUAUCAUUUUGAAGCAAUAGAGACAACUUCUCGAAUUCUUCACCCAUUCUAUUCAACUCCGUACGUGCCACUUUGAUGUCGACAUCUAUGAUGUUGUUGAACUGGUCUCUUGGCAUCCGAAUCAGCUCUACCAGUAGAUCACGAACUUUGAUAUUCUUCCUGAUAGCACCUGCUUGGAGGGAAAUCGCAUUGGUCACACGAGAUAGGAUACGGAAGUCUUCGCUGAUGAGUUGGAGAUUUGACGGGGCUGAAAAAUGGUUUCCGUUGUGGAAGAGAUACAUGUAGGCGAGUAGGCAGGCAUGUAGGUGUGGGUAAAGACUGUGGAAAAUUCAAAACUAACAGCCACGUGUGUUAAUGACACUUUUCACUCAUUAUUCUGAAUUUUCACGUAAGUUCUUCUACUUUUAGUAUUUUAUAUUUCGUUUUUUUGCUACAUGGAUUUCGUAUUUACAUGUUGGCUUUUUUUCAAAUUAAAGCAAUGCAAGAAGACACUCUUAAGAUAAAAAUCGACUCUUUCAAAAAUGAACAAAGUAUUAGUUUAUAAACCCUUAAUAAUAGUUUACGCGCGAGCUAUUUCCCUCUUCCAACUCACCACUUCCGGCUGUAACUAGAAAUGCUCCUAGAAUUCCGAUGCCAAAAUAAUAAGUAAUCAUAAGUCCACAAUUGCAAUACUUUUUAUCUGAAAUACUGCCGUUACAGCCUGAAAGUAUGAAAAACGACUUACCGAAAGAUGCUUAUUUUUAAAGACUGUAGACAAUGAAUAGAUUUUGCGAGAAGAUAUGGUCUUCCGCCUGAGCAAUGAUUGAUUUGAGCAGAUUUGAUUAUCAGAUAAAAAUGUUGAAACAAACGAAUUGGAGGUUCACGUAAUAAAAAUAAAUCGAAAUUUGUUUUAUGUUGUUCAUGCAUUUUUCUUUUUGUUUUUCAAUAAACUUUUUGAAUAUAAUAGUUUUCCUUUUUUGAAGGUUUUGGUUUUCAUUGGUUUUUAAUUAUUAAAAAUUAACGAAAAUACAGAGUAAGGGAAAUGUUGAAAUCAAUUACAUGAAUAGAUUAAUUGCUGGUUUUAUGAUCUUGUAGAUGGUGGUGGUAGAUUAGAAAUAGCUCUUCUGUCAUCACACUUCACAGCAAUAGACUCCAAUGGGCUCACUUUCCGGAGAACUUUAUUUUUCAUUGGGGACAGUCGAUUGUUGAACAUCAUCAUAAUGAAUCUAAAUUCAUAUUCAUUACUAACUCGAAUUUCAGCUACAUGUGAAAAUUUUUUGGAACCUGUAGCGGCUCAGAUUCUGUAGAACAAUUUUUGAAAAAUACCUAACAGACCCAUAAAAUGCCAGCCGCGUCAACAUUUUCCAUAUGUUGAUUUAAAAAAAUACAGUGAAUGUGUACGAAAAUUUGAAAACCCACGGCUCGCAGGUAAUGUAAACGCUUGAAAGCUUGACUUUUUGCUUGACGCCUUAAAAAUGUUUCAAAAAAAAAAGUUUUACAUAUAUAAUAGUUCGGAAAAACUACUUUAAAAAAUGUUCUUGAAAGCUUGAAAAGCUUGAAAAUCUGAUCUUGUGCCCGAUUUACACUGCUGAUCGUAAUACAUUGUGCCCGAUCUACGAAUUAACUGUGUCUGAAUCCACUCACCCAUCAAGAACAUGAACGAAUUGCAACACAAAUGUUUGGCAGAAGAAUGUCCAGAUUCUAUGAUCAAAAAGGUUACUGGAAUUGAAGUUAUAUUUUGAGUUGAAGCUGAAAUUGUUCCAGUGACUUACUCGAGCUGAGAAAACAAGACCGUGAUUGAAAACAACGAGUCUUGAAGAAAACAAACGAGUCUGAAGAAACUGUAACACAUUUUUCCGUGCUUUUCUCCGGUGUUGAGAUCCGCGGAUUGUCUUUUUCUUCUGAAACAUAGAGCCAAAUUUGUUUUAUAGUUCUAAGAAAAUAUUCUAAAAACAUUCCCUACCAUAUAAUGAAACAGAAUGUAUGUGACUGCGUUUAUUGAAAGUGGGAAAACAAUUAAAGCAACAGCCCAUAAUUGCAUAUGCUCAGGUGUAGACAAAAGCCCGAUAUACGCCAAAUGCUCAUUGGAAAAAAGCAUAAAAUUUGAAUUUUCUGAAAUUACAAAAAAAUGGUUUUAAACGUAACCAUGAAAUCAGUACCACUUCUACUCAAGUGUUCCGUAGCCACAUUCCAGAUGCGGUUUAUAUAAUAAAGAAUAUGCAAUACCAAUGUCAGUUUCAAACCCCAUAGCCAACUAAAUUUUAAAGGAAAUAGCAUAACGAAAAAUCGAUUGAAGGAUAAGUAGACACUUUGAAAUUCGUUGAAAACUAGCAUAUUCGUACCAAACGUCACAAGAAUGCUUUCAACAGCUGGAGAGUAAAAUGAGUACCCACUGAAAACAGAAGAAGAAAAAAUUAAAACAUGAGCAAUAAAAUCCAAUAUGAUGCCUAAUAAGAAUGUCUUCCCAAUAAAAUAUCUUCCUGAGAAAUUUCGUUUUAAUUUAAGAAUUCAUUUCUGAAAGUUAGAAAAGAUGCUUAUGAUAUAUGUACCUCUGAAGUUAAUUUUGAAAGCCUUCAUUUUUAUGUUUUUUUUUCCAAAUUUUAAAUAAAACGUCAAAAAACGUUUGCCUCUUUUUCGAAUCAUACUCUAAACCCCUAAAAAAACUUACAUUAAGCUCUCUGGAACGUACACUCCGAGCAUAACCACCAAUAAAACAUAUACGUUAUUCGAUGCUCGGAAAGCACAAAUCAUAUUGAACACAGUUCGCUCUUUCUUGCAAGUCACAAAAUUUUGAAUAAUGGAAAUGUUCAACGGUAGUCCAAUUAACGAGUUCUUGAAUUUUCAUUCAUUUUCAAUAGAAAUUAUUUCAAACUUUUACCAGCAACAUAAGUACCACAGCCAGGAAAUUCGGCCAACUUUUGAAAUUGUAGUUGGAGACAUCGUUGGUAACUGUCGAGUUCAUUGUACGUGUUUCAAUAGCAAAAAAACACUAAAUUAAGGAUCUCGAGAUCGAAAAGUCUAAUUUUUUUUUAAAUAAUUGUGUUGACUUGUUUUCGAAAAAAAAGUGAUGGUUUACGCAUCACCUGAUUUCAACUAAUCAGUUUCCUAGGAUACGAUUCCCGAUGGGAUAGUCAGGAAUAUAAUCUGUCUGAAAACUUUUUUAAAAGCUCAUGAAUCAUAUGGUGAGACUUAUAAUGUUUAAUUAAUGGAGUAUACAUUUAAGAUGAAUACCACUCUUCAAAUUAUCAAAAAUUUUUAGAUGGAUAUUUAAAACAUUUCAAAAUGUAAAAAUUAUGAUAUUGGAGUAGGCGGUGACCAGGUACGAGUUGGCAAAACCUUUCGAGUAUCAAAUUUUGUAAUUGUCUCGAUUAUAUUAAUUUUCAGUCUUCUUUUCAUUGGGGACAAGCGAGCAUUGAACAUCAUCAUGAUGAAUCUGAAAGCUCGCCGUUUUUUUUAAACAAUUAUUUGAAACUCUUGUUAGAUAGCGAAAAUCAGUUUUUUUUCGUCAAAUACCGAAUUUUCUCCAUUAAUUUCGCAUUCAAGAUAUAAAUGAAAAAUUUUAGUUUUUUGAUUUUCCAAUUUUUCAGUUUUUUAGGUUUUGAAUGUUCUGUUUCACUGAAAAGCCAGAAAUCAAAAAAAAAUGUUGAAUAUGAUCGUAACAUAAUUUUCAAAUCCCAUAUCAAAAAAAAUAUGUUUGGGAUUUUUUUACAUACUUUUUGGAAAUCGAAAAUAUUUGUAUUUCUGAUUUUCAAUUUUCCAGCUUUCCAAAAAUAUGACCUACCCAUCAAGAACAUGAAUAAAUUGCCACACAAAUGUAAAGCAGAAGAACGUCCAGAAUCGGUGUGCAAUAAUUGUACUGAAUAUGAAAUUUGAACUGAAUAUAUUCAGAGGCAUAGUUUUUCACAAACAUAAAAUUCCCAAAAAUUGAAAACUCACUUCAACUUCAAGCCAAAAGUACUACUUAUGAAAAACAAUGAGUCUUGAAAAACAGUUUGAAAAAACUGUGCUACAUUUUCCCUUGCUUUUCUCCGGUGUUGAGACUCCCGACUUGUCCGCUUUUUCUGAAGCACUAAAUAAUUUUUAAUUCAUAUUUUACAACUUCCCACCAAAUAAUAAAAACGAAUAUAUGUUACUGCAUUGAUAAAAAGUGGAAAGAUGAUUGACAACACAGACCACUCAAAAAAAUAGUCAGGUGCUGCCAACGUGCCACCGUAAGCCAAGUGUUCGGCAGAAAAUGAUAUAUGGUUUGAGUUUUCUGAAAUCAGAUUUUGAAAGUAUACAAUUCAACUUACCGUAUUUCCUCUAUUAGUAAGGCAUGCAAAACUAAUUUUCGGACACCGAGUUUGAUGCAAAACUAAUGGAGGUGCAAAACUAAUUUUCGAACCGGUUUUUUCUCAUGUAUUCCAGUAAGUUAUGGCAUAAUAUCAUCAACUUCAAUAACAACUUAUGAACCAAAAUGAACGAAUUUUACAACUCAAACGCAAAAAUUGUCCGAGUUGUACUCAUAUUUUGUCAAUUUUCACUUGUUAUACCAAGUCUGUAAGAGUUUUCCUAAUUUUUAGAACGAUUUUAUUAUGCAAAUUUUGAAUUCCUAAAAAAUAGGGAACAAAUGAAGGGGUGCAAAACUAUUAGAGGUGCCAAACUAAUAGAGGCUGCAAAACUAAUUUUUGAUUAGUGAUUUUAGAUGCAAAACUAAUGGAGGUGCAAAACUAAUAGAGGCGCCUAACUAAUAGAGGAAAUACGGUAAUUUCUUUUUUGAAAAAAUCAUAUUUGUACCGAUUCUGUCAAGAUGUUCAGUGAUAACAUUCCAGAAACGAUUCCCAUAACAUAAAAUAUGUAAUAGCAAUGUAAAUUUUAUACUCAAUAGCCAGUUAAAUCGCAAUGGAAAUAACAUUGCGAAAAAUCGGUUUAUUGAAAGAUAGACACUUUGAAAUUCGUUAUAAACCAAUAAAUUCAUUCCAAAUAUUAUAAUAAUGCUUUCAACAGAGCGAGGAUAAAUUGAGAACCCUCUGUAAUUAGGCAUUUUUGAUAAUGUUUUAAUUGUGUCAUUAAAUAUACAUUGGUCGCAAAAAAAUAUAUAGUGGUAAUCAAUAGUACAUAUGUAUAUACAUUUUUGGUUUUGGCAAAAAAGUAUAACUCAAAAACUAAAUACUUUUGAGAAAGACGUUUAACUUUAUGAAAAAAAAUUACUGUUACAUAGAGCAAAUAAUUGUCUAUUUUGUUUAUUUUUAAUGAACUUUUCAAUAAUUUUCGGGGAUCAUUUUUUAAAUGUGAUCUUUUUGCAAUCUCACAUCAAACUCUCCGGAACAUAAACUCCAAUCAUAACUACAAGUAGAACAUAUACGUUGUUUGCUGCUCGGAUAGCACAAAUCAUAUUGAACGCAGUUCGCUGCUUCUUGCAAACCACAAAAUUGCAAAUAAUUGAUGAAUUUAGAGGAAGCCCAAUGAAUGAGUUCUUAAAACUUAGAUGUCAGCGUUAGUUAUGUAAUAUCUAAAUUACCAUAAACAUGAGAGCUGCGGCCAAAGAGUUUGGCCAGUUUUCAAAAUUGUAGGUAGCCGUUGAGUUGCUAGAUAAAUUUACCUCCAUUUUAAGACUACUGAAUGAAUAAAAAGCUUUGUAUUGUCUAAAGGUUCUGUUAUUUAAUAAAAUCUGUUAGAAAAUUGAGUAAAAUAAAACAUGAAGUCGGUCGUUUUGCUAUAUCAAAAGUGGAUUGAUUUAUUACUUGUAAACAAUAAAUCAAAACUUCAUAAACGCAAUUUUAUUUCUUACAGUUUUUGUGCAUUCUAUCACAAGGCAAGCUCUCUGAAAAACGAAAAGAGUUAUUUGUUUGGGACAUGCUAACUCUUAAAAAGAAAAAUAAUUACUUGAAAAAGAAAACAUAUCUCCUCAUUUGCGUUUUUUCAUGUUUGAAAAAAUUACUAGCAAAUUUCUGCACAAACCUGAAAACCGAAUUUGGAAAAUAUGAAAGUUUUUUUAAUUCCCAUGUUCCCCGAUUUUCAAAGCUUCUCACCGUUCUCCAUUGUGGCCCCUUUCAUGAUUUGUACUAUAAAACGAUCACAAAUAUCUACUGAUCUGUUACGAUGCCAAAGACAAUUGUUUGUGCAGGUACAAUCAAACAUACCUAUACUCGAAAAGUCUCUUAUUAGUCACCUUUCUCACCCUUUCUUAGGAAACGGUCACAGAUUUUAAAAUUGGCUAUGCCAUCAUCAUUUUGUGUUUAUUUGUUGUGUAAAAUCUUGGAAAACUUUGAGAAAAGUUCAUUUAUUUGUUUUAAGUGUGAUUGUGCCAACAUUCGAUGGUCAAAAUACGAAAAACGUUAGCGUCGUCCAAAGUCAUAGACUGGGUAGAACUCGGUGACAUAGUUGGGUUUCGGAUUGAUGUAGUGUUGACGUUGAGCUGAAAUAGAACAUUGGAACUCUAGUUUUGAAUUGUUUUUAAGGUGUUGUGACCUAAAAUGUGGUUUUGUAGUUGUACAAAUAUAUAGUUACAUAUGUGUAUGUAGGUAAACAGGUAACCAAUUUUUAUUUUUCUACUUUGAAAAAACUUUUUAAAGAUCGUGUUAUUGGUUUUUAAAAACACCAUUUCACCAUUUCAAAAACACCAUUGAUUGGGUAGUAAAAACAUUAACAAAAUAUGUGCAAAGUAGUUCUCUAGAUAAAAUUAAAUACAACCAAAAUUUAAGCCUUAAAAGUAAAGCGAUAGUUGAAAUCAAAAACUGCCAACUGACAAAAUUAUUGUUUUACAUUUUAUUCAACAGCUUUCUUGUUAAACACUCAUUUGUAUUUCCAAAAAAUUAUCGAAUUAUAAGCUACGAGAGUUGAAUAAUGGGAUGUCAUACAAAUUUGAAAAUAUUUUCUGAACCUAGCUCAAUUUUCUGUAGUUUAUCGAACAAAUUGUGUCUGAAUUUUCAAUUUUUUGAAUCCAAAUAAUAUAAAUUUUGGAGAAAUAUCGACGGUUCCCUUUGAGAAAACGAAAAGCAAAAAAAUAAGUCUGGGAAUUAUUGGAAAUCUCUAAAACUUCCAAGGGCAAAAUAGGUGCAAAAACAAUUUUGGCCUAAAAUAUGUAUUUUCCUAGAAUGUUUAUUUGCUAAAAAUCUAUAUAAAAAAUACGUUUUUACGGUUUUCUUGUCGUUUGAUCUCAAGAUUACUUGCCAAUUUUAUUUUAGACACGUGGUGUAUUUGUUUAAAUUCCUGGUAUCUUGAACAUUUUUUUAAACAAAUGCUCUGUGGUUUAUGGAGAUCAAAAAUCUUUUGAAUUUUCUUGAAUACCUUCUUGCUGGGCCAUCGAAUAGGAAUCUAUUCCAUAUAAACUGAUUCCCCUCAUAUCAACUUGUCGCUUCUUCAUUCCAGGAAUGAUAUAGCCAAUCGAAGGUGCAACCAGAGCCAUUCCAAUUAUCACAACACAAAUCAUAGUUUGAAAUUUCAUUCCUGCACACAAAAAGGGAAGAUAAUCUGAACAUCAAUUGCAAAGUAGUAAGUACUCCGAGGUGACUCACUGCCAAAUCUUUACUUUGCCGUAACUUUGUGUGUGUACAAAUACGUUGCGGUCAGAGAGCUAAGCCGAGAAAAAACGAUGGUUUACCCAGUCUGCUCACACACAAGAAGGAGAGAAAGAAACGGUUUAAAAAAGAGUUUGUCAAUAUGAUGCGUUAGAAAUGAUGAGACCUGCUAGAAAAAAUUGGAAACAAAUCAUAAAACAUAGAAUUUCAAAAGUUUAGAGCCUAGUCUAUAGAAGAAGCUUUGAUUUUGAGAUCUGCGAGGAUCUAUAGAACAGACCCUAAAAUUCAGAAGCCACAUUUUUUUAAAAUUAAUUCCUUAAAAAUUAAAAUCUAAAAUUUGAGUAUUAAGCUCAUAAACCACAAGAAAUAAAAAAUCAUCACAUAAUAAUGAAAAUUCAUUCCAAUUGCCAAUUUAAAUACUAUUUUUUCCGAUCGACUCGAAAUCUGUUGUAAGCCGAAAUCCUAGGUGAUAAUCCAAAAAAUUGCUUGUAGUUUUAUGAAAUCGUAGUAAAUAACGUGAGAUUUCUGAAAACCCCAGGAUAAAUAGAUCAAACGAAUCCAAGAUAAUCUACGUUUGGUAUUUGGAUAUACGAGAGAUACGAUUUAAGAUGAUGUAAAACUACGGGGAUAUUGUCUAAAGUUUUUUCUUGGUUAGUUGUCUUUAAUUUUAAAUAAGUAUUUUAAUAGUAUGGAUCGACUUUUUGUAAAACUUUUGCAAAACAUUAUGCCAAAAAAUAUAUAAACUAGUUUGGGAAACUAUAAAAAAUUGAGUAAGAUUUUGGUGUUUUCACUGCUGUGACUGUUUGAAAUUGGGGAAAAAAGAACAUUGAAUUCGCAUUGUGUGGAUCUAAAAGGAAUUAUAUGUGUUGUGCGCCAUCAUUUUCUAUUCAGAGCCAUGCAAGAUGAUUGACGUUCUAUGUUUUUUUUUUCAUAACAAAGGAUUUCAAAACUGGCAAUUUAAAGACCUCCUGCUCAUGCUUUGGAAUUCGAAUUCACUGCAUAAUUGAAUUUUCAAAAUUUAGAUUCAAUGCGCAAAACUAAACUACGGGACCUUAUUCCGUGGAUUUAGAUUAAAGUUUCCAAUGAGUUAAGAUUAUCAAUUUGUUAUAUUAAAUUUGUAAUUAACUUUCAAUUUCCAAAUUCCAAAUAUUGGUCCAUUCGUAAACCUCUCAUCCAACGAUCCCUUCUCUUAUGUUCUCCCGUUUAGCCAAAAAAUGCCCCAACAAACAAGUAGGAUGCCACUCGACUGUUUGUGGACACUAACUUUGGAUUUCGUAGUUGGAAACUAUCACCGCCCGCCCGAAGAACAUACAUACUCGACAAGGAGAAAAUGGUUUUUUUGCUUUUCCUAUCUUGUUUGUUUGUUAUUUGACUUUGGCAUUGAUGUUGAUGAUAUUUAGAUGGGAAUAAAUAAAUAGAUCUUAAGGGGAAAUGAUUGGAACACUCGAAAAGAUAUGGGAAAUAUUCAAAAAUGGUUUUCGCUUCAAGUUGGAAUUUUGUGGCGAGUUUGUGCAAAACAUUUGGCAACCAACUGUGUAAGCUGCUACGAUGUUUGGCAGGAUUAAUCAAAGAGCCCAAAUUUUUUUGAAAAUUUGGCAUUCCAUCAAAACCUUGACUGAUAUUUUUUAAACACCAAAAAAAUUUAUUGCAAAAUGUUGCCAGACAAAUUAUCGUACUUUUCCGAAUAGUCUUGAAUCUCAACUGCUGCACUUUGACAGCUUUUAUCACUGUUGUCUUUGGUUUUAUGAAAAUAUUUUUAACUGUAAAAAUGUUUGCCAAAUAUAUUUCUCUACAUUUUUUUAGUUGAAAAUUUUUUGAUAAAACCAAUGGCAGCUCAGAUAGCUGGAAAAGUAGAGCGCCUCACGCGUUGGCCUUGCAGCGGCGAGAGCUUCAUUAUCUUGAGAAAGAAUUUUUGUUUGAAAAAGAUUAUUAAAAUUGUCUAUUUUUCAGUUGGAAAGUUAUAAACUGAAAAUAGGUGGUCGUAGAAAUGUGAACGGUUAUGUUACGAACAAUUUUUCUCCAAAAAUAAUUUAUUUGUACAAUUCCAGACAAAUAUCAAAAUAAAUAUUCGCAAUUAUCUCUUUCCCCAGGUGUAAUAGUAAGUAGUGUAUCCAUUACUGUUGCAUCCAGAGCAUCCAUUAUUGUAGUAGUAUCCAUUAUUGUUAUUAUUCGGGUAGUAGUAGUAUGUCGUGUAGCCAUUGUUGUUGUUGUAGUUGUUGUUUGGGUAGUAAUAAUAUGUCUGAAAAUGUUACGUAAAAUAAGAUAAUUUCAGAUCUUGUAACUUACAUAGUAAGCGUCGGUUGCAGCGAAAAGCACAAGAAGAGUAGCGAUCAGUGUAAGGAAUUUCAUUUUUGUUAGGCUUUCAGGAGAUGAGGGACUUGAACUAUAUCUUCAAAUUUUCGAACUUAUACACGAACCUUGUAACUUUGGCUCCACCCAGUUGGCUCCUUUUUGAUCUUUCUUGUGUUCUCAAAGGGAGGAGCAAAAUGGAAAAUGAUUUAUUUACCAUUUUAUGGGGAACUUUCUUAGCAAAGCUGUGUUCAAAUGUUCACAAAAUAAAUUUGUCAUAUACAUAUAUCUCUCAUAAAACAUUUUUAUCAUGAAAGUCUUGUUUGCUACAGAUGUUUAUCAAAACAUUUUGCGGGAGUCGCCCGGAAAACGCCUCUGAAAAGCGAGAAACACCGUGACGACACUUUGCACAGAAGACUGUCGGUAGGUCUAGACCGAAUAGAACGUCAAAGCAAAUUUGGGUGAAAGAUUUUCUUCACAUAUCGCUCACUUUGAGAAGCUUUCCAACACUUCUAAAAAUUUUAAAGAUUGCCUUUGCUAUACUUUGCCCAAAGAUUCUAAAAUUUCAGAAAUAAUUUUUGAAGAAAACUGUGCCAGUCAACCGGUACAUGGGUAUUCGUGCAUACCUCUUAUUCAUCAUUUGUGCGUUGAAGGCGCUUACAACGCCGCGGCGAAAAUAAAUUGGUAGCCGAAUUUUUACAGCUUUAUGGAACUUAAUUUGAUGUCGAGUUCUUUCUUGGUCAUGUCCAUGCUUAUAAUAUCUUCCAAUUUUAACAACACAUGUAAAAAAAAUCAUUUAUUCGCUCAAUUUCAAACAAUUCUAAAAUUACUUUCCCCAGGUGUAAUAGUAAGUGUUGUAUCCAUUGUUGUACCCAUUAUUAUUGUAAUAGUAUCCAUUAUUGUUAUUAUUCGGGUAGUAGUAGUAUGUCGUGUAGCCAUUGUUGUUGUUGUAGUUGUUAUUAUUUGGAUAGUAAUAGUAAGUCUGAAAAUGCUCUGUAAACUUAAGAAAGUCAGAAGUCUAGGAACUUACAUAAUAUGCGUUGGCAGUUGAGAGGAGCACGAGAAGAGAGGCGAUAAAUGAGAAGAAUUUCAUUGUUUCUCGGCUGAUACACUAACAUUAUUUCUGGCAAAUUUUAUACCAUUAUUAUGUAAACUACAAAUCCCACGACUCCUCCCAUUUGGCUCCAUAUUGAUAUUGUUUGAGGGGCGGGGCAAAUGACGUAUAUCCUAUUGGACAGUUUCCGAAUGUGCUCAUUUUCAGGUAGCUCCGCCUCAGUGUAGUAUAAAACAGUAGUUCUUCGAGCUGGUUAAGUAGUCAUCGAACUCAUUUCGCUCAGCAGUAGUGAAAAUGAAAUUCUUUACUUUGAUCGCUACUCUUUUGGUUCUUCUCUCCACAACGAGUGCUUAUUAUGUAAGUUUCAAAUUGUUUAGAAUUCCAAAUAAGCGCUAUUCGGCAGCCACCUAGACCUGAAAUCAUGUGUGUCUACCUCUGGAAGCUUUGAUUUAUAACCUAUAAAUUGAUGAGAAUUUCCAACAGAAUUUGAACAUCAGGGUUUUUUUUCUGAAAUUAAGAUUUUUCAGACAUAUUACUACUAUCCAAAUAACAAUAAUAAUGGAUACAACUACAACAAUGGAUACACUACAUACUACUAUUACCCGAACAACAAUAACAAUGGAUACUACUACGAUAAUGGAUACAACAAUAAUGGAUACACCACUUAUUAUUAUACUUAUGGAAAGAAGUGAUUGAUUAAAUAAAUGAUUUUUUAUUACUUUUUGUAGCUGUUAUUUGCAGGUAGACCUUGAUAUUUUUAAUGUCAAAUUUGCGCGUAAGAUUGUGGGUUUUAAGCCAUCUCAGAACAAGAGUACGUUCAAAAUUGAAUUUCACACAUUUUGAAUAUACUCAAAUCCGCUUUCGCUGUGAUAUUAUCAAUUUCAACUGAACAUUACUUUCGCCUUUUAAAAUGCUCUGCUUCAUUUUGAACUCCACUGCUUUCCAGACUGUUAGUGCAAAAUUUUUUCUUUGGACUGUCUUUGUCUCAAAUCGUCCAACCCAUUUUCAGAUUCACACGAAAAAGUGUUUUUGUUUAAACUAUAUAAAAUAGAAAAUGUUCUAUUAUGAUCACUCUGCAAUAGAAGAAAAAGAGAAUGAAUUUUCUAACUAUUCUCACCACUUUUUUCGUAUUCCUUUCAACUGCAAACGCUCAAUACGUGGGUUUUAUUUUCAGAUGAAGCUUUCCAAAUUGGAACUUCCAAUUAAAUUUUUUAAAAAAGCAUUUCCAGUACUAUUACCCUGAUGGCACCUACAAUAAUGGAUACUACUACUAUCCGAGCAACGAUAACAGUGGUGGAUAUUAUUAUAAUGGAUACUACUAUGAUACUGGAUACACACCAUAUUAUUACACUUACGGAAAGAAAUAAUGAUUUGCUUUAUUUUGGAAUGUUCUAUUGAAUAAAUAAUUGUUACAUGUUUUUUUAAAUUUAUACGUAGUUCAAAACAAUGAGGAGGAGUUUGAAAAAUAUUUUUUAUUCAAUUGUAUGUUCUAUUCCUGAGCAGUUUCUUUUUACAAAUUGGCAGUUUAUAUAAGGGCGUGUUCUUCACUUUAAUCACUUUCGUCCAUAAGUGUAGUAGUAGUUGUAUGGAUAGGUGUAGUAAGUAUAUCCAUUAUUCGGGUAGUAGUAAUAGGUGGUUCCAGUGUUUCCAUUGUUUCCAUUAUCGUAGUAGUAUGUGUUUUGACCAUUGUUGUUGUUGUUAUUCGGGUAGUAAUAGUACGUUUGGUAUCCAUUGUUGUUGGUUGGGUAGUAGUAGUAGAGCUGGAAGAGUUCAUGAGUUUUGGUUAUCACCAUAUGGCUCCUGCAUAUUGAGUAGCAGGGAAAAUGGUUAAGCCUAGCGCCUAACUUAGUCAGCUUUAUGUUGUACAUUAGAUUACUUCCUAAGCAAAACUGUAGAACUCUGCCGAACUUUUCUUUCGCACGCUGCCAACUUUCAGUCGCGCACCGUCUACAUUCUGUCCCACAUUGUCAUCACAAUAUCUCCUUUCUCCAAAAAUAGUAUAGAUUGCCCCAUAAAGCUAAUUCUAUAUGGUUCCCAAAGACUCACGUAGUAGGCUUGUGCCUGAGCAAUGAAAGCCAGGAGAAGGACAGCAACGAGUAGCUUGUUCAUAAUGGAUCGUUGAUCGUUAUGAUGCUCUUCUCACCCCCACCACUUUUCACUUUUUAUACUGCUGCUCCGUGGGGGCUUUUCCCCCCCUACUCUUUUGGAAGGGCGUGGAGUGAUAGUGGAUGCCAUUGGGGGCACUCAAAAGACAAACAAUUGUCUCCUUGUUACCUCUCUCCUCUGGUCGAAAAGAAGCCGAAAAAGAGCAAAGUUAAGGAUUAAAAGGAAUGUGUAGUCUUUUGAGAGUUGGUAAACUGUUAGCCCUUCUCUUGAAAGAGAGAGAGAUCAAAAGGGAGCCACGGAGGUGGAGCUUGAUGUUGAGUAGGGUAAAAGUGUAUAAAAGAUUCGAGUAAAGAGGGGAAAACAUAAACUUCGCUUUGAUCUCUCCUAGAAAAUGAGAUUCCUUACACUGAUCGCCACUCUUCUCGUGCUUUUCUCCACUGCCAACGCUUAUUAUGUAAGUUCCUAUUGAUUAUCUGAUUCCCAUUUUUUUGUUUCAGCUCUACUAUUACUACCCGAACAACGGUUACAACAACAAUAACAAUAACGGAUACACGACUUAUUACUACUACCCGAAUAAUAAUAAUAAUAACAAUAAUGGUCAAACUUAUUACUAUUACGAUAACAAUGGAUACAAUAAUGGUUGCUCCGGCUGCAGUAACAAUAAUGGAUACACUUACUACUACCCGAGCAACAGCAAUGGAUACACUACUUAUUACUUGACUUAUGGAAAGAAGUGAUUUGUCUGAAUUUGAACAAAUAAAGAAAUUUUAAAAUUACUCGUUUUUAUUAUAUUACACUGGCAACUAGAGCUAUAUUUAAAAAUGUACAUAAAAAGUUUUACAACAUUUAGAAUUUAGAAUUUAAUUCUGAACUCUCUCCACGAGCUGAAUAAUAUUCAAUGCCUGCAGCAGAAGUGGUCGAUCGAUCAUUUGUCCUCUAAACUGGAAAGCUCCUUUUCCUAAUGCCUCGUGCUCACUGUAAGCGUGGACCAGCUCCUGAGCCCAUUCGAUUCGAUCCUUCGGAGGCAGAAAUUGCUCCUGGACCACAGACACUUGACUUGGAUGAAUGACUUGUUUUCCAGUGAAACCCCACUGCCACCCUUCUGCAGACUGACGACGGAGACCGUCAAGAUCCUUGAUAUCUAUGUAGACACUGUCGAUUGCUUGAAGUUGGAAUGCUUUACAGCAAGUCACAAAUUUCUGUCGAGCGAAUAGGGUUUCAGUGCCGUGAGAGCUUCGUGUAGCUCCGAUAUCUGCACAGAAAUCGUCUGAUCCAAAGACAACUGCAUCUAGCUUGAAGAAUCCGGCUUGUUUAUGAAGAUUUAGAGUUGAUGAGACUAUUCGUGGCAUAUCCAGAAGAGCUCGUGCAGAUUCGAUCCAGAUAACAAGCCGAGUGUUCGUGUUUGUGAUCCGUUCAUCUCCGUAGUGUUCACGGAAGAUGUUGUAGAUGGUGACAAGGUCUUCAGGGCAGUCUACUUUCGGAAUCAUAAAUGCUUGUGGCAACUUUUCAGCUUUCGAUACUGCCUGAAAUUAAAAAAUUCGUGAGGAUAAAGUUUGAAAAAUUCAAAAAUAAAUCUUACAAUGAUAUCAUCUUCGAGAAGACCACUGCUUACAGAAUUGACACGUAGACCAAGCUCCUGGCAUGCCAAUGUGUGAUAUGGCAGUUUAUCAAGAGCCGCCGCAGCCUGAAAACUCAAAUUGUAGACAAAUUUCCAAUUACUUUUCACGUACUCGAACUCUAGCAUCAGCUUUAGCCGUCAGAGCAACGCCAUCUUCUAGCUCCAAAACUACUGAAUCCGCUUGCAUCAUUGGAACUUUAUCCAGCAUUUUUUGAUUGCUGGCUGGAACGUAUAGAAGUGCACGUCUUGGAACAUACUUUGCUGCGUCCCGAACUCCGGCAAACUGUGAGAUGUGCCUAAUUAUCGUUUUAGGAAGCAUUUUUCUGAAAUUGAAAAAAUUAAUUUAUUUUAAAAAAAUGUGUAACGUAAAAUCUGAAAAAAAAAAACAAAAAUAAAUAACCAAUUACGUGCGUAAAUCCACACAAAAAUUGCAAUGCAAGCUCGCCCUAUUGAUAAGCGGUCGUGGCCUGCUGGCCUAGUUUCUUCCAUUUUUCAUGAAUUUUCUCGAAAUUAAUUGAGUUUCUCCUGUUUUCAACGAAAUUUCAAAGAUUUCUUGUUUUGAUUUCAACGUUAAAUAUUUAUUUUCAAGUUUUAAAUUGAAAUUCCAUUGUUUUAAGUACAAAACGACUUAAUCUGGCUUGAUGUUCACCUUAAAAAUCUCGAUAAACUGACUUAAAUUAAUUUCAGGGAAUUUAAAUGGCCAAGUGGGGAGAAGGAGAUCCACGCUGGAUUGUUGAAGAACGAGCCGAUGCAACAAACGUAAACAAUUGGCAUUGGUGGGUCUCGAUUGAAGUCAUAGCUUUGAGCUGAAUAAGUAUGUUUUAGGUCGGAGAAGAAUGCAACCCCGUGGUCUUUGAACCGACUCCGUGAACUUCUCACCGGAUUUUCGUCCGAGGUAUAAUUAAUAGUUGAACAAGAUCGUAUUAAGAGUAUUCGUUUUCAGGAUGGCCCAAUUGUCGUGACAAUCGAUGAGAUCAAAAAGAUCGACGGAGAAGCAACGGCAAACAACCGGAAGGCUAAGCUCAUCUUCCUUUUUGAAUGGGUUAUCGAAGGAACAUUCAUUGCUCGUGUUUCUGGCAGUGAAGACGAAUAUAAAGGAACUUUCGAUAUCCCAAACUUGAGUGAUGAGAACGAUGCAUCCGAAGUGGAUGUGAAUUCGUCAUUGAGUGGAAAUGGCCCAAUGGCUCAUCAAAUCCGCCAAGUUCUUAACAAAUCGUUCAUUGCAAAGAUUCAAGAUGUUAUGGGAAUCUAUAUCCGUGAAUUGAAGGAAGAAUUCAGCAAGGGUCUCAUUCUGCCAACUGAUAAAGUGAAGCCACAAGUCGUUACUACUGGAAAGACUUCAGUCGUUGACAAACGUCAGUUCCAAAACACUGUUGUCGCGGAAAAGGACGCUUCCACUUCUGGAAAUGAAGUGUUCUCCACCAAAGAGGUUUCAACUUCCGAUACCUACAAGGCCACACCGGAUAGAGUUUUCGAGGCGCUCACAGAGACUCAAUUCGUUCGUGGAUGGACAAACAAUUCGAUCGGAGAGUGGAAUUUCAAGGAAGGAGGAUCAUUUGCAUUGUUCGGGGAAAACGUGACUGGAACAUUCGAGAAGAUUGAGCCGAACAAGGAGAUUGUGAAGAAAUGGCGACUGAAAAAGUAUCCAAACAAUCAUCAUGCAACCAUCCAUUUCCAGUUGAAAGAUACUGUAAGUUUUAGAACAAACGAGGAUAAACCUUCUAUUAUAAUAAAUUCUAGGGAUCUGGAACGGAUAUCAAAAUCAUCGCUAAAGAUGUUCCAACUCAUCUCGCUGAAGAAACUCAACAAGGACUCGAUCGUUACUACCUUUCAAGCAUUGGUCGUACUUUCGGAUUCAGCCAGCGAAUGUGAAAAAAUGAAAAAUUGCAAAUCUCCUGUUUUUGAUGUUCUCCGAUCUUCUAAACCGCUUUCUCAAUUUAUUUAUUUUAUAUCAAUCUGUGUUUGUGUUCUAAAUUUAGUGAUAAUAUUUUCAUAAAUUCAACAGAUUCUGUUCAAAAACAAACAAAAUUAUUUAGGAAUCUGCUGCUCGAGCAUUUCAGGCGGCCAGUUUCCGAAAUCCGUCAAAAUUUUCGUGAUGAGAUGCGCCGGCGUGACAUCAAAUGCUGGAUUCCAAACCGGACAUUCAGAAUUUCCGAUUAAAACUCCAUUUACUCGAAGCAUCUCUGCAGAUGGUCGUUCUUCAAUUUUAAUCUCCUCCCCGGUUGCAAUAUUCUUAUUGAUCGUCGUGAAUGGAACAACCGGAUAGAAGUUGAUGUUGUGAUGUUUGCAGAGGACAGCAAGCAUAUAGGUUCCGAUUUUGUUAGCCGUAUCGCCGUUUCUUGCAACAUUAUCGGCUCCGGUGAGCACACAAUCCACCUGGUGAUUCUUCAUUGCCCAUGCUGCCAUUGAAUCAGUGAUCAGCUAGAAAAUCUGGAUUUUUAAAAGAUAAUCAGUAUUUAGCAUUACCUUGAACGGCACCUCACCAUGAAGAAGCUCUAUGGAAGUCAACCUAAUUCCUUGAUUAUAGGGUCUCGUCUCCAAAACGUAAACCAAUUUCAGACGGUUUUCAGAAUGAAGAGCCCGAAUGACUCCGAGAGCAGUACCCCAGGAUAUUGUAGCCAAGCUUCCUGUGUUGCAGAUCGUCAUUACCGUAAGCUUCUCCUUGUCAGGGAAUGCCGAGAGAAGCUCUUGAUAAGCGUUCCAGACGAGAAUUCUAUUUUGAAGCUUUUCAUCCGUAUACACGUUGAGAAGAUAACUGCGGCAUCUGUUGGAGAAUUAAUUGCGAUUAUUUGGAAUUAUUUUUGAAAUUUAAAACUCACUUCUCAAGCUUAACCACAUCCGAAUAGUCUUGAGACUCUAAAAUUGGUUUCAAGCCGUUCAAAGAAUUUCUCAAAUCAACUGCAGUUGGUCUUGAGCUUAUCAAAAAAUUAAUUUUCUGAAUAAUACUUUCAGAAUCAAGCUCAGAAGCCUUUUGGAUUUCCAGGAGCAGUCCGAGACUUCCGACAACUGCAAUAAGUGGAGCUCCGCGUACUUGCAUUGAUUUUAUAACUGCAAAAGCGUCAGAGACACCUUCAACCGGGAUGUACUUGAAUUCAUGUGGAAGUAGGAGUUGAUCUGGAUUUUAUUUUACUAGAACUAUGCUUUAUAAGAUGAUAUUUCUGAACUUACCAAGGACUUCCAAAUUGGUUCCAUCAAACUUCAGAGAAUCCAAUCUUUUCGACUCGUCGAAUAAAAAUGAAUCAGGAAUAGGCCCGUUUACAAUUUUAUUGAUUUUUGAGGUCAUUGUCGUAAAAUAGCAGCAGAUACCUAGAGCUAAAUGAAUUGCAGAGCGCAAAUUGUCUGUGCAGCGUUUUCCAGAUGAUAAGAUAAGCGAAAGUGUAGACUGGAAGUGAGCAAAACGUGAGCACAAGUCGAAAAGUUGUGGAAGAGGAUGUAUUUAUUUAUGGAAAUAUUGUCAAUGUUUCAUUGCUAUAUUCUCAAGUCAAUUUAUUGAUGAGAUUUAUUUAAAUCUUCUUCGUGGUUACGGUUUUAACGCCGAAUGGCCUAACUUCUGCGCAUGCGGCCUAGAAUCCGACAACCGUGUACUCCUCCUAGACAAUUGCAGAGAAUAUUUUUUAUUAAGGUUUUUUAUUCAAUUUCUCCAUCUAAAAUGAAUAUUCCGAAAAUUCUGAACAACAAUUUAGUUUUAAAGCGAAUUUUUUGUCGAAAUUACUCCGUUAAAGUGCUAGGAAUUGAAACAAGGUAAGGAAUAUAUAAGCAAUAGAGUUCAAAAAAUUAAAAUCAUUAAAUUUUCAGUUGUGACGAUACUGCAGUAGCAAUUGUCAACGAGAAACGAGAGAUUUUAUCUUCAGAGCGGUACACAGAACGGGCGAUUCAGAGACAACAAGGCGGGAUUAAUCCUUCAGUCUGCGCACUUCAAGUAGGAUUCUUCUUCAGAAUUUACUUGAAAUGAAAUAUUUCCAGCACCGUGAGAACCUUCCAAGGCUUAUAGAAAAGUGUCUGAACGACGCUGGAACAUCACCGAAAGAUCUGGAUGCAGUAGCGGUUACAGUAACGCCUGGAUUAGUUAUUGCACUUAAAGAGGGAAUUUCAGCGGCGAUUGGAUUUGCAAAGUAUGAUACUAUGAAUAUUUAAAAUUUUCGAAUAUUGAUUUUUCCUGUUCAGAAAACAUCGUCUUCCACUGAUUCCAGUUCAUCAUAUGAGAGCCCAUGCUCUGUCAAUUCUUCUCGUCGAUGAUUCAGUGCGAUUUCCAUUUUCAGCAGUUCUUCUUUCGGGUGGUCAUGCAUUGAUUUCUGUUGCAGAAGAUGUCGAGAAAUUCAAAUUGUACGGUAUGAGGAUUGAAAUAUUUGAAAAAAAAACUUAUUACUCAUUGUCGCUACAUGGCACGAAAUUUUAUUUUUAAACUUCUCUCAAAACAUAAAAUACUAUAAAUUUUUCAAAAUUUUCAGGCCAAAGUGUCAGUGGAAGCCCGGGCGAGUGCAUUGACAAAGUUGCGCGGCAGCUUGGAGAUCUUGGAUCAGAAUUCGAUGGGAUUCAUGUGGGCGCUGCGGUGGAAAUUCUAGCCUCUAGAGCCUCUGCUGAUGGCCAUUUGAGAUAUCCCAUAUUUCUUCCAAACGUUCCAAAAGCUAAUAUGAACUUCGAUCAAAUCAAAGGAUCCUAUCUGAAUUUGCUGGAAAGAUUGAGAAAAAACUCUGAAACAUCAAUUGAUAUUCCAGAUUUUUGUGCUAGCCUUCAGGUGUGUGAAGAACCAAGAAGAGACUUCGAAAUUGUUUUUGACGCUUUUUCCAAAAAAAAAAAAACUUAUUCUAAAAUGCAGUUUUCUAUCAGAAAAAAAUCUUUAAAUUAUACAGAAACCACCAAAAAAAUCAAAAAAUUAAAGCCUAUAAAAAAUUGAAAAAAAAACUUUUUUUCGAUUUUUUAAAAUCAUUGUUCAAGCCUUUUGAAUACUUUUCAAUGUUUUUUGAGUUAUUUUCUAUAAUUUCUGUCUCUGUAAUUUUUUCACUAAAACUAUCAGAGAAUCUCAAAAAAUUAGUGUUUCAAAAAAUAAAUCCGAAAAAAAUAAUUUAUCUAAAAAAACGGAAAAUCGAUGUUUCCAAAAAAUCGUUUUUGCAAUAAAACGAACCAAAAAUCUCAUAUUUUCAAAAAACCAAAAAAAAAAGAUUUUUCUUAAAAAUAAAUCAAAAAAUCCUUUUUUUUUAAUUAAAAAAAUCCAAAUUCUGGUUAAAAAAAAAACGGUUAAAUUAUUUGUUUCAAAAAUAACUCUUACUUUUCCUAAAUCGACAUUAUUAGAGCAUUUAUUAGGAGUUUCGACAGUUUCGACGAACGUUUUUUUUUCUAUAAAAAAUUAUUUCAGAACACCGUAGCCCGACAUAUCUCGAGCAAACUUCACAUCUUCUUCGAAAGUCUCUCCGAGCAGGAAAAACUUCCAAAACAGCUGGUGAUCGGCGGCGGAGUGGCGGCGAAUCAGUACAUUUUUGGAGGUUUUUUUUUAAUAGAAGUAUCAGAAAAAGCUAAAACUUUAAUAUUUCAGCAAUCUCAAAACUAUCAGCUGCUCACAAUGUCACAACCAUCAAAGUCCUCUUGUCCCUUUGCACAGACAAUGCCGAAAUGAUCGCCUACAGUGGCCUUCUGAUGCUCGUCAAUCGGUCCUUUAGCCCCCACCAACUCUAUAAUUAACUAUUCGAAUUCUUGCAGAUCGGAGGCAAUUUGGUGGCGACCGAAUGACAUUCCUGACACAAUUUAUGCACACGCUAGAAGCGAUAUUGGGACGGAUGCUUCUUCGGAAAUCAUUGAUACACCGCGUCGGAAACUGGUGACAUCCACGAUCCAUGGCACCGAGCGGAUACGAUUCCGGAAUCUGGAUGAUUUUAAGAAGCCUAAAAGCCCUAAAACAACUGAAUGAAGAAAAUUUUCUAAUAAAAAAUGCACAUAAUUUUAUAUGACUGUGUUUGUAGAAAAAAACGAAAUAAGAACAAGAAAAGAAGCACAAGCAAAAACAUUAAUGAUCAUCAGUAGAGAGAGAGAGAGAUUCCGGGAUUGUAGAGAAUUUGAGUAUGGACUUUUUGUUGGCAGGUGCAAUUGGGAGGGGGGCACAACUAGAAUUUGUGUCAUUCAUUGGGUUUUCAGAGAGUCAAGAAGCUUUUUGAAUUAACAUGGAAAGGAAAGAGAAGGGGGUUUUUUGGAAAGCAGCUGUGGAGAGAGAGAAUACGAUUUUUUUUGGACUAUUUUUUUUUAAAGCUGUAUCACACAAUUUUCAAAAACAGAACGGAAAACUUUUAAAUUGUAGAAUAGAAAGAAGAAGAAGAACAAGUAGAUGGGGGAAAAUGACUAGUAUGGAAUGGCGAAGGGUGGCAAUGGCUAACACGAUAUAUUUUUUGGACAGACAUGUGUUAAAAUGUAGUCUGUCAGCAGGGUGGGUACUGUCGUAUUGUCAUCGUGGAUUGCGCGGAGAACUGAAAAAAACCAUUUAUUUUCAAUUUUCAAUGACUUUUUGUUCAAUUUUUGAGAAAUUUUGGCAAAAAGUUAGCAGAUUUUGUUUAAAUUUGUUUAUAACUUUUUUCCGGUUUUUCAAAGGGAUAUUGAGAGAGAAUUUAUUUUAAAAUUUUCCGGUUUCUCAAUUUCCAUUUUGCAAUAUUACCCAGACGCGAAAUUAGCACAAUUAUACGGUACCAGGUCUCGGCACGACAAUUUUUGUUAAAUACAAACAGGCGUGCGCCUUUAAAGAUUACUGUAGCUUCAGGUUUUUUCGAUUUUUCAUCUUUUUUUUUUACUCCAUAACUAUAUAAAUAAAACAAUUUAGCAAAAUCUUGAGAACAACUUUAAACAAUCGCGAUUAAAAUGUUUGAAACUACAGUAAUCCUCACCUUUUCGCAUUUAACAACAAUUUUCGUCUCGAGACAGUAUUUUUUGUACAAUAUUUUUGACGCAAAUUCGCGAAAUUAAAAAUUUUUUCGAUUAAUUUCAGGUACAAAAAAUCGAGAAAAAAAAUUCGAAAAUUAAGAAUAAAAUUCAAUUUUUAAAAUCAAUUUUUUUUUAUGGUGAUGAGGAAAAACAUAUAAUUUUCUUUUAAAAAUAUGAAAAAUUAGCUAAAUUGGGGGCUAUUUUUGUUUUUCGAAAAAUCGGAGAAACGAAAAACCGAAAAAAAAGUCUUGAUUUUCAUGGAAAAUCCUUUAAAAAUCCCCACCGACCCUAUUCCACUUCUAACAAGGGGACAUAAUCCCGAGAAAAACAUAUUAAAAUUCUGUAUCUCUUAUGCAAAUAUCUCUUCUUUUUCUCACUAAUCAAUCAACACACAGCUGAUAUUCUUUGUCAAUUAGAUAUUUAUUUAUAUCUCUUUUCAUCUUCUCACUUUUGAUUAGAGACGCAAUCGACGCAUUAUCGAUAUGUUGAUGAUCGUUGUACGGAAUUGUCGCUGUCAAAUAUUGUGGCAAUUGUGAAGCAUCCGACGCCUUUCCGACCUUCCGUUUCCGAUCAUUAGCGUAAACUCGUCGCUUGUUUUGAAUCGCCAGUAAUAGUGAAAUAAACGAGUUUUUCAUCUCUUUUUCGUAGUCCAGCUCAUCUCUGAAACAAAAAAACCGAAUUCCAGUUUUAGUUCCAAAAUUUCCCGAAAACCAACCGAUGUGCCAGCUCAUCGACCAAACUCUCAUUAUAAACCCGAAUCAGCUGCUCCAUUUCCGCGCAUAGUGUCACCAAUUUCGAAUAGGAGAGCUCUUGAAGAUCUGAAAUGAAAAGAGUGUUGAAUUGCAGUGCUGAAUAUAUUUUGGGUAACAGGGAGCGAUUGAAAAUGAAAAAAAUGUGGGUGUCAGUGAGAGUGUUAAGUAUGGUGUUGCUUGGGAUUAGUUUUUGGAAUAAGUUAUACAUUUCUUGUUUUUUCGAGAAAAGCAUCACGGGCUUAAAAAUGUUUGCGCCCUGAAAAAGUACUGUAGUUCCCAGCGGGAUUUACAUUGAUUUUCCCUUUUUUCCGUGUCUUCAAAAUUUACAUAUAAAAAUACAUCAGAUUUUGAAGGAACGGAAGAUAAAAAUAGGACAAAUCAAUGAAAAUUUGCAAAAAUGUGGAGUUCAGAACUACAGUACUCCUUAAAGGCGCACUCUCUUGAACGUAAAAAGUCGGUCGCUUCAAGACCAGGUACCGUAUAACACGGUUAUUUGUCGAUUUAUAUUUUAAAAAAUUUCGAAUAACAAAUUUCUUUUUUAAAAACUUCUAUUACAACAAUGCUCUAGGUAAGUUAGCAACUAAAAUCUGAAAUCUAUGUGCACUGACAAAAAAGUGUUAUUUCAUGCUUUUACUGCUACAAAAAAGAAACUAAAGAAAUUCACUGUGUGCAAGUGCAAAUAUCUAUUAGUGUUGAGAAUUCCAGCAGCAAAUAAUCAACUAAAUAUAUCGCGAUCUUUCUAAAUAUUUCUGAACAAAAGGAUAGAGACAUAGACGAAACGCAAAGAACAGACAAAAUAAUUGCACUAUAUACCCGAGUGGAACGCCGCAGUUUUUGCUGCUGCUGAAGAAAAGGACAAAAGUUAGAUGGGAAUGAGAGUGGGAGUAGGAGAUGAAGGAUAAUCAGAAUUUAUGGAUUACUAUAGCUUAUCGAGAGAGCAGCUACAGUAAUCCUUAGUUGAGCUAUGAGCAUUUUUAUUUAUAAUCUCUUAAGAACGGCAAGAACAGAGAAUUCAUUGUUUCAAAAAUUUGAAAUUUUCGCUUUAUUACAAAAGUUGAAAAAAUUUCAUUUUCGAUUUUACUUAGAAAAAUUAACUUUUUUCAAAAAUGCACUUCGAUUUCAAAAGGUGGAUUUUUUUAAGUGUCCGUAAUAUUUAAAUCAAGAAAAAAUUUAUAACUUUUUUCUCUAAAAGAUUUGAAAAAAAAACGAAUUUUUUUUCUCACAAAAAAACACGGAAAUUCGAAUUUUCAAAAACGAUUGAAACAAGAAUGUGAGAUAAAAAUUUUUUUAAGUUAAUUUGAAUUUAAAUUUUUUAAAAAACGUACUAUCCGGAUUGCUGACAAGGGCCUGUGCACUUCGAAGUUUAAUAUCAGCAUCUGAUGAUUGAAUUGAUGAUGGAAAUGGUGAACGCAUUGAAGAAUACAUUGAAUCAACUGAUUCCAUCGUUCGAUCCGUCAUCAUUGAGCCAGUGAAAUCGCAUGACUAAAAACGAGAAAUAAUACAUGUAAUCGCUUGUGGUGUUAAGGGCUUAACAAGGGGGUAUUUGUUUUUGUGUUUUUUCUGCUUCUCGUUUCAAAUAAAUGAAUAGAUUUUCGAAAUUUGACAGAAAGUAAAACACUUUUAGACAUUUAAAUGAAACUUAUCUUAUUCAAAAUAGGAGACUACAAAAAAAUUUGCGGCAGAGGAGCACCUUUAACUAGAAAAAUAAUGAUCUGAAAUUACUUUCAGUGCAUUUUUUCACUAGUGGCCCGUGAAAUUGCUCCAAAUAUAGAUUAGUGCAAACUUUGAUGAGUUUAGGGUGAUUAGAAGUAGACAAACAAUUUGGAAGCUUUUUAAAGGAAACGAUUUUUGAAAAAAAAAAUCCAAAAAGAUUUCAAAAUGUUUGUCUACCUCCAAUCACCCUAAAAAUCAUUAAAAGUUUGCAAAAAUCAAUUUUUGAAGCAAUUUCACGGGCCGCUAGUGCAAAAAUUGCACUGAAAGUAAUUUCAGAUUGACUAUUUUUUUAGUUCAAAGUUCUCCCUUUUCUGCUAAAGUCACCUAUUUCCAAAGUCUUUUUUUAAAACAUUUUUUCUAAAAGUGAGACUUUAAAAAUAUAAUGACCUGUAACAUUUCAUCAAUUUCUUCGAUAACUUGAUCAGCAGUCUGUGGAGGUGUUUCACCACCAGUAUCCGUAGAUCCAUGAUGAUGUCCAAUCAUUUGAUGAACAUCCAUUUGUUGUCGUAAAAGAUCCUCAUCAUCGGAAUUUGUCAUACUUCGGCGUGUAGAUGCGUCGUCUUUCUGGAAAAAAGUACAAACGAGAAUUUAUUUGCAAAUGGGAAAAUUUAGGGAAAGAGCAGGGAAUCCAGUGAAAUCAGUGAACCGGAAGACAAACAAAGGUCAACUAGAGGAAUGUCUAGGUUUUGACUUUUUUCAGAUUUUCAAAAAAAAAAACAGGGCUAGAAAGUAAACUUGUUUUUUUUUAUAAUUUGUAAGAGUUAAGAGAAAAAUGAUUUCAUAAAAAAAUUAGUGUAUUCCGCGAGGAGAAGGCUUUUCAAGUUUUUGACUUAAAAAUGGCAUUCUGAAGCAUUUCCGUUGUUCAACCUGCCAAUCUAUUUUAUAAAAACAGUUUUCAGAUAAAAAAUCUGAAAAAAUGCAUUCACCAUUGAAAAGUAACAAAAUCUCGUUUUAACUAGUUUUCAGCGGUAAGUUCCUGAAUUUUCAGUGGAAAAAUUAUAAAUAAAAGAUAAAUUGGUGAUUUAAUUGCCAAAUACAAAAAUAAAUAGCGAAAAAAUGUUCAAACCCCAGAAUACUAUCCAAGAUUAUAACAGCUUUCCUCGGGGAGUACACUUGGGUUUUUUGAUAAUUCGAAAAAAAAGUAGGAUUUUCGGAGAAUAGCUUAAAAUUUUUCCCAUUUUUAAUAGUAAAUUUUUUUAAAGUUUAUUCUCGUCAGCCACAUUGAAACUGUUUCGAUGACGCUUUUGCUUCUGAAGAAAACAACAAACAUUUUCUUUAAACAAAUUGGUUUGUUAAUUUUUUUCCCCAAAAUAUGAAUGUAAAAAAUUAAAAUUUUUUAAUUUAAAACUUAAAAACUCUGAAAUAAGUCAAUUCCGCAUUCCAAACAUGAUGGAAAUUGGAAUCCCGUGAUCUUUCAGAAAAUGAUUACGGUAGUCGCAUAUUUCAAAUAAUGACAACCGGGAAAUUGAAAACUGCCCAAAAAAAAAGAAGAAGGGGUGGUAUUUAAUGGACACCGCUCUCCACAUAGUAAGAGUUUUCUGAGCAUCGGCUCUCGACGCCUUCUUCUUAUUCUCUCUGUCUCUCUGACUCCUCCGGUGAGUGCUAUAAAUCGAUUGUAGAGAACAGAGAGAAAGAAGAAGAAGAAGAAGUGUUGAUGCUCAAGUGGAAGGAGCUGGAGACGAUGAGCGUGAGAGAUGAGCAUAGUGGAAAAGAUAGAUGGAAAAACAAGAAGAACGUUGAUGGUGGAAGAAGGCAAUAGUAAAAACAGAAAAGGAAGACAAAGUGAAUAACAAAAAGAUCCGGGGACCCUCUGCUCACCAAUGAAUCACUGUCCAGAGCUGCGGCCAUCUUUUUACAUAUCGAAGAGGUUCCAAAGUCGAGAGGUUGAAUGUUUCCAAAGUUUCCGGUUAAUGUCCACCAUGUUCUGCAAUUUUAGAAAUUUCUUAAUUUUUGGAAAAACUCAAAAACAAAUUUUUUAUGUUUUACUACUAAUUUUUAAAAAAAAAUCCAAAAUGCUCGUUUUCACUAUAUUUCGAAUUUUUUUGAAUUCUUAAAAAAAUAGUUGAGAGUUUUGGCCAUUUUUCUUAUUUUUAGAAGAAAAUAAUAUGUUUUCUGUGUUUAUAGGCACUCUAUGUAAUAAUGACUAUAACUUUAUGUGUCGAUUUACGCAGCUCGUGAAGUCCACGACGAGGAGGGUUUUACUGCUGUUUCGAAAAAACUUUUGAAUUCAAAUUUUCGAGCCGUUUCUGAUUUAUAGCGUUUUCGGGAAAAGGAUCUAAAUUUACUUCAACUAUGGAGAUUUUUUGUUAUACCUCACUCGCCACGCGGAUAACGAAUUACUGUAGCUUGAGUUGAAAAAAAGUGAAUUUUAAUCUAAAUAAGAAUUUUAAAAAAACCUGACGAUUGACAGAAGUGACAGUAAUUACUUAUCCGCGGGGCGAGACCUUUGCUACGAAAAUUGUCAUUUGAAGUUGGAAAGCGAGAAAAUUAACAAUUUGAAUGAUAAAUACAAAAAGAACUUGCGAAAAUAGUCAAAAACUAAGAAUAUUAUCCAAAAACUGUAAAAUUGUCCUAGUUGCGGAUUACACGAACUGCGUAAAUCGACACAUGGCUUUUUUUCGGGCUAGUUUUUUUUAAUUCGUUCCAAAGUAGAAAUUAUUUCAAAAUUGCUCCAUUUUUCACUAAUUUUUAUGAAAAAAGGCUAUAAAUUAGUUUACUUUUUAAUUUAAAAAAUUGGAUUUAACUACAAUUUUUUGGUGCUAUUCUGAACAGAAUUAUGAAUUUUUACGAUUUAUGGAACUUUAACAAAAUAAUUUUAGAUCCCAAAUUUUAAUUUUUCAACCAAUUUUUUUAAAUCCACAAAUAAAAUCCAAAAAACUCACUGGCUUUCAUUCAUAACUUCCUCUUGAGUACGUAUCUGCACAGGUGCAAUAUCCGCUGUCGUCACCUCGUGGUCCUUCAGGCAUGCCGCAAUUUUUUCGUCAAAGUUGCCGACAAGGUCCUGAAAAUAAAAGAAUGUUGAAAAGAGUGUGACAAUGCAAGAAGUCCAACCUCAAGGGAUCCAGAGAACUCGUCAUGAAGACGUUCCUCGUCGCUGUUGCUGUUGCAGUGAUGUUUCUCGUCUGAUGAAUGGCUGAAAGUUACAAGUUUUUUUAAUUUUUAUCCUUUCAUCUAUUCAUAUUAUGGAUACGCAGAAUAGAAAACAAUUUUUGAAAGUGAAGUGCAAGCGCGCUCCACCGACAAAUCAAUAUGUCCCGCCCCAAAACGUCGGGUCUCGUUAGGAAAUUCAAACGUUUUAAAUUAUUUUUUAACCGAUUUCAUCCGUAUUCAAUGAAUUUUUCGACAUUGUGUUGCGUUUUUGAUUGUUUUUCAUGAUUCUUAUGUCAAAAUGAUAUUUAUUAAUUCAUAUGAAGUUGAGAAGUGAUAACAUAUUUUCUAUUAAGUGUGAAUUAUAAUUCCAUCAAUUUCGAUAUAAAAAUAUCCUAAACAAGAACAUAAAACAUAACAAAAAGUCGAAAAAUCUAGUUUUACCACUAAAUACCUAACGAGACCCAAAGUUUAGAGGCGGGGCACUUAGAGACUUGGCAGCGGAGCGCGCUUACAUCUCGAUUUCAAAAAGCGUAUUUUUCUAUAUUUUUUCUGCGUCCCCAUAAUAUGUAUUUCUUCAGCUUCACCCCAUCCUCUUUAGGACCCCCAAAUAGUAUGAAGAUCCGAUAAUUAGAUAAUGUGUAUCUUUUGGAUGUGUAUUGGGGUAUGUGUGUGUGUGUGUGUGUGUGUGUGGAUGGCCGUGAGGGGGUGAGAAGAUGAGCUUUUAAGUACCCUCUCCUCUGCUGCUGCUGCUCUACAACACUUGGCUCGUUCAAUUGGAUUGGGGCCCAGUUUUAUUGGCAUGUUCGAAAUAGAAAAAAGAUAUAACGAGGCCAUCGAACGUAUGUCAGAAACACUUAGGGAAGCACUAAAAGAAAAUUUCUGCGAAUUUUUCUUGUUCUCUAGGAAUUCGAAGGACCAUAAAGAAGUGCACUGAUGUUCUUUCUAGGAAUUUACAAAAAAAUCUAGUGGGAAGUUAUAGUUUUGCGAUUUUUUUUUCAAUAAAUGCCCUCUUAAUUUGAAUUUUUCAGCUCGAUAAUAAGCUUUUUUUUCAAAAAAAACCUCUACAACCUAUUUAUAAAUAAGGUGGUUUCCAAAUAUAUAUUAAAAAAGUGAAUUUAAAAUUUUUUAAUAGGGAUAUUCAUAUUGAUACAACAUUACAGUAUUUCUUAAAGGCCCAGAGCUUAAAAAAUUGCUACAGUAACCUAAAUAUCUGAUGAAAAAUACUGUGAACCUCUAAAACGGCCAUGAGUCGAUUUACGCAGCUCGUGUACUCCACGAGGAGAAGUGUGCAAUUAUAUUUUUGACUAAAAAUCUGGAAUUGAAACUAUUUUUUUUAGUUUUCUAUAUUUUUAUCACGUAAUUUUUUUUCACCUAAAAACACUGUUUUAAACUUCGGAUUUAAAAAAAUUAAUUGGUAUGGUCCGAAAUCCUGCUUUCUUGCUAAAAACUGUUAAAUCCUUUGCAAAAAAAUGUACGCUUUUCCUCGCGGAGUACACGAACUGCGUAAAUCUACACAUGACCGGAGGAUCACAAGCCUUCACGAUCAUAAUUCCAACUUGUGAGGGAGUUUGGAAUCUCUAGUAUCCAGCAAAAUUCAAGAUUUUUUUUGCACUCUCCCACCAACAGCUUCAAAAAAAAAACUCACUUGCUCAAAUUCUUAUUACUAUCGAUAUCAUCAUCAUCACACGAGGCGAGCGGAAUGUCCGGUACUCGCAGAUCUGCAGCCUCCAUUGCCACCUCUCCAAAACGCAUCGGUACUUUUAAAGGUUUUGGUGAAGGAAAAACGGAUGACACACAAAAGUGUGGAAGAGAAAAGAAGAAUGGAAACGACGACGACUUUUUGGGAUUGAAAUUGGGAGAAAGAAGGAGGAAAAAGGCAAACUGACGACGUUGGAGAGAUGCAGAGACAAAGAGAGAGAGAUGCUAGAGGGCUCCAGCCGCCAAACUAAAUGAAUGCUCUAUGCCUUUGCUCCAAAUGUCGUCGUUGUUUGGGAGAAGAAGAAGUAGAAACAGAGCUGCUGCUGCUCUCUUCUGCAGUAGUCACUAUGCGCGCAAAGGCAACUAAAGACGAAAAAGAGACGGAUAGAGACGCAGAGACAUCAACGGAAAACCGCAUAUGUAUUGGAUCCCUCCGGUUGUCUUUCUCUGACCGACUCUCUCAAUGAGAGUGAAUGAGAGAGAGAGAGAAUUAGAGAAAGAGAUACAACAAAAUGAGUGUACAUUUCUUUUGCGGGGCGGGGAGUUUUGGUGGGGUGGAAUAUAGAGAAAAAGAAAAAAGACCCAACACAGAAAUACGAAACCCCUUCUCUCAGCAGCGGCGCCAUUCUUUUCAGGACUAAGAAGACUAAGAGAGAGAGAGAGAAUGUGAAACAAGUAUCCAAUUUUUUUCGCCUCACACACACCCACAGAUGAGCCGAGAAUCGGAGUGAUUGAUGUGCAAGAAUGAAGGAAAAGUGCGGUGACAUAUUAUUGUGUCCACUCCUCUCCGAUCUAAUCGGUUCGCCGCAAAAAUAGAUGAAUUAUUUGUUACGAAAUCAUUUUUCGUCUAGUUAAUAUAGGAAUGGGGGAUCGAAGUGAGAUUGAGUUUUGGGUCCAACUUCAGAAGACGUUUCCAAUGAUUUAUAUCAGGGUUGGGCGGCAAACGAUUUUUUUCAGCCAAAUCGGCAAAUGUCGAAUUUGCCGGAAAAACGGCAACUGCCAAAAAUGUUCGGCAAAUUGUAGUUUUGCAAAUUUUUUCUGAAACUUCAGAAUUUCAAUUUUAAUCCGCAAAUUUGUACGCAUCCUAUGAAUGUUCCUAAAUUUAUUUUGAAAAGGGAGCAAAUCCUAUGAAAAUAUCUAGAAAAGACGGGAAAAAAUUUCAAAAAGGCACAGUUUUAAGCGUUUCCGGCUUAUAAAAAAUCCCUAUAAAAAUUUCCGGCAAACCGGCUUUUCGCCGAAUUUUUCGACAAAAAAAAUUGCCGAACGGCAAUUGUCGCUCUUGAUUAAUACAACUUUUAAUUUAAACGAGGAAAUUUUUUAAAAAAAUUUUAAAUAAAAAGCAGUUUCCAGAAGAGUAAGUGUAAAAGUGACAGAACUUUGGCUUACGCUUACAUAUUUUGGAAAUGUGGAAACCCGAAACCUAUUCGUGAUACGUUCAUUGACAAUUAAAUAGGUGUGGUUCAUUAGAAAAGUAACAUGAUCAGAAAAAAUACGAUUAUCUCUCCAAAGUCAUUAAAAAACUGAGUUUUCGAUGUCUAACAAGAAACAUACAAAUUUGAAGAAAAAUGUUGCAUCUGGGUCUAAAACUAAUUUUAUUAGCCCAAUUAUCUCAAGACAUGCGCCCGAAAAAGUUUGACCCCUUGACAAAAUUGAAAGUUUGUUUCAGUUUUAUGAUCGAAAUAACUAUAAGAAAAUGAUACGAGAACAGAAAACAGUUGAAAGCUUGCAAAUUGCCGAAAAAAUACGAGUUUUUUUCUCCAGAAGAAUUUGGCCGAGAAAAAGAAGGCGAAACUUUUUUGUUUACGACAUAACAAUGAGUGAUUUAUGCCCUUUUUCUGGAUGAAAGAAGUUGGUUGGACUAUGCAGUCAACGAUUAUUAGACCUCAAAGGGCUCUUUUUUCUUUGGUUUUCGCACCUGCGAAGUGGUAGUGCUCAAUUUUCGAGCAGGGAGAACUAUAACAAACAAUUUAGUGUAUGUUGACUAUACCGGCGACUCGACUGGUUAAACUCGUCAAAAGAACAAGGGAGAAAUUUUUGGAAAAAAAAGGAAAAAAGAGAGAAAUUUUGGCGAGUAACUAGUGCACUUUUCGAAGAGCCGGGCGGGAGAAGAGAGAAAAAGGAAACAAAUUCAAUUUUAGAGAAAUUUGUAAAUUUAGUAUAAACACGAGUGGAAUAGUAAGUAGUAUUUACAAGAGGAAGCUAGAAAAAAUCUUUAAAGCUUUAAAACAAUUCUUUAAAAAAACAAAUUUUUAGAGUACGCAAACACCGGCCGGCACGCAACAAUGCAGACAUUCGCUUACAGUACUCUUCUGGUUUUCCACUAAAUUUUCAAGCUAAUUUCAAGUAUUUAAUUGAUUUUCAAUGAAGUUUUACACAAUUAUUUUACAAUUUUCGAAUCAAAAUAUCAUAUCUAGGUAAAAAUCUUUAUUUUACAAAACAAUGAAAAUCCUAAACCGGCUUCGAAAGGCGAUCCGCUUGUAGUUUCCUGGAAAAAAAACGUUUACAGAUUAAGUUUAAUGCUAAAUAACCAGGAUACGAACCUAAUAUAAACAAUAUUGGCCCCUAUUAAAGCCAUGACAGUUGCUGCUAAAACGACGAGCAUUCGAUUUUUCUGCUUUUCCCGGAGGUAUUCAUCUUCGGGAUUUCUGAAAAAUAAAGAAUUUACUGAAAAAUUGUUGCCAGCGAAUUAGCUUUAAUACCUAAAAUGGGAAUAUACAACUUUUUUCGAAUUCCUUUUUGCAUCAGGUAUCACAUCAGCACUCCAUUCAGCUCUUUGAAUAUUCCUCCUCUGAGUUGACAUUUCUUGAGUUUUAUGCGUCGCCUGGAAAUUGGAAAAAAUAUAUAAUUCUCAAAUCUUUUCUAAUAAAAUACCUCCAUUAAAAAACCGCCUUCUCUACUAAACGCUAAAUCGUAUUCUUUUCGUUUUUCUUCAUUUCUGAGAACAUCAUACGCCUCCUUCACAAGCAUAAAUUGUUCGGUUUCAGAAGAACCAGUAGCCCAUCCAACUCGCGAAUCACUUUUUGAAGAUUUUCGAGACUGGUCUGGGUGAAGCUGGAAAUGUUUUAUUUUUUAAAUUUAAAUCAGCUUUCUGAAACCUGCUUGGUCUUUUUCAAAAAUGCAUCUCUAAUUUCCUGUCUCGUGGCAGAAGCAGAAACUCCAAUUAUCUCGUAGUAGUUUUUUCUGAUGAUGUAUGAUGCGAAUAAUCGUUUUUGAAUGAAUUUUGCCAUAUACUAUUAAUGCUGAAAUUACCAAUGUUCAAAAAUUUGUUCAAACCUGAUCUGAAAAACGUAUGCUGCGGUUUAGAACCAUUUAGAAUCUUCAAAUAAGAAUAUAAUUGUUUUUUUUUAAUUCAGUUUUUAUUGGAUAUUCUGUAUUUUUAAUACAUUAAAGCAUGCAAUAAAAGGGAAUCGAAAAAAACAAAAACACAAGAAGUUUUUAAAAAUUACACAGGAACGCGACUAAAAAUCCAAACCGUUGCCACUGGCCAGUCACAGGAGCUGAGAUGGUUCAUGAAAAAGGCAUUGUUAAAAUGAAUGUAGAAUGAAAUAAUUGUUGAUAAUGUUACAACUUCAAAGUAAGGGAAAACAAAGAUUGAGAGAAGGAUUUGAAGGAAAAUUGAAUUGAGCGAGGAGGUGGCUAUCAGAAGAAUUAACAUUUUCAGUGGGGUUAAAACUAAAUAAUUCUGAAGUGUAUAAAAUACAAGUUGGCCAGUAUUCAUGAAUAUUAUAAAACAACUGAAAUAGACGAGUUCAGUGUCGAAAGUUAGAGAUAAAGUGGUGGCAGAGAGGAAGAUCGCAAGUAAAUGUACUAGGAAUACUGGAAUUAUGAGAUGAAGCUUCGGUGGAUGGGAAACACGUUCGACGCCAGAAAUCAGGAUUUUUGAAAUUAUAGGCAAAGGGACGCAGAGAUAGAGGAAGAUCUUGAAUUGUUGGACAAACUCGCGAACUCCUGGUGUGAUGAACAGCGUCAUGUUUCCUGAAAUAAAAUUUUGAGUUUUGAUAAAUUUGAGCUGAAAUUAAAUUCAAAAUGACCGAAGAAAGCUGAAUAUCAAUAAGGGUUUUUUCAAAAAAAAAAUUUUUAACGGCUUUUAAUUUUCUCAAUUUCCUGGGGUUGUGCUACGAAAAAGUUAAUAAAAUUGAUUGAAAAUUUUAGCUAAAAAGUAGUCUUUUUUGAGUUUUGAGCCGCCUUAAAAUUAUUUAGAUUGUUAAAAAUGUGGGCAUUUUGGGUCAAAUAAGGCAAAAGAUUUUUGAUUAAUGUCAUUAGAAAUUAAAAAAAAAUCUUACCGAUAGCGUAAAUCAAGAAAAUUACAGAUACAACUGCAAAUAUUUUUCUUGAAUAAAUCAUUUUCUUCUUCGUAUUUGUUGCUCCAACUGCCAUUUUCAAGUUUCCUUCGUCGUCGGCGUCGUCCAUCGAAUCAUCCUCUUCCAUCGGUAUUGAUCUCAUUCUGUCUGCCUACAUUUUUAAAUAAAAAAUUCUUCAAAUCAUGGACAAUAUGUUAGUAGUAUGUUAAUAGUGAAAUCCACACAAAAACAAUUCGAAUUAGUGGUUAAUAAAUCAUGGUUUUGAGAUAAUUUUGCAAUUUAUCUAGCAUAUCACUGGCAAAAUAAAUACGAUUAUGAAAAAAGGAGUGGUGAUGAGAAAGAGAGAGCACAUCGGGAGAGAAGACAAGAGAAUCGGUUGAAAAAUUUACAGUAAAAUGAAAUCAAUUCUCAAUUUCAGAGGCUUCAGUCGAAUCCUUUUUGUAAAUGACAUCGUAGUGGCCUGGACGAUAGAGAAGUGUGAUCUCCGGAGCAAUUUGUUGAUCGUCAGAUGGAAUGUCGUAAUGCCAACCACCGUUCGGAGCAGCAGUACGGUCCAUGUAUUCGAUGCGAACUCUUGUGCCGGCGGCUUUGAUCAAAGAAUUAAUUGCCAGAUGAUCGGCAUCUUUCCACAUUGGCUCGAUUUCCUGUUCGCAAUAUUGAGCCACUGUCAUUCCCUCAUCAAUGAAUGGAGCAUAUUCUUCUGAGUUUUGUUUCAAAAAUGCUGAAGUUAUGAGACGGAAGAACAUGAGAAUAUAAUUAGCAGAGCCAUCAUCAUUCAAAAUCGUGUAAACAGCUUCCUCGGUAUGCACUCCACUGUGGAUUUUCUCAAGGAAUUCGAUAAAGAAGUCACAGAAAUCUGUGCAGGUCCAAUCCGGAAAUCCAAGUUCAACAAGUGUCCGAGUCCAAUCCCUGCUACUCGCAAUGAAUUUUUCGAGUCUGGCUCGAUCUUUCAGCAUUAUCUCAAUAAGUCCAACGAGAAUUGCACGAUAGAAGCAGUUUCCGUCUCCACGAAUGUAGCGGAUCUCUCCAUACACUUCACUAAGCUCAGUCGCUUUAGAAAGGAAGGCAGCCGAUGUUUCGUUGUCGUAUUCAGCACAAAGAAUAGAGAAUGGUGCUAAAGUGGCAACAAGUGGAACAGAUUUUUGCUGGAAAAUUAGAAGAAUAAUUUAAACGUUUCUAUUGGAAAAUAACAAACCUCAUCUUCAAUUGUCUUCAACUGUUGGUCCUGCAAAACUAUUUCGUCAUCAGUCACCACAGCCUCCGCAGCCUGACCGUUAUCAUCAGAUUUUUGGGGUUCAUUGGCCAUAGUUCCUGUUACCUGUAAGAAAAUGUUUAAUUUUUAGAGAAGAAAAAAGCGUUUUAUGCAAAAGAAAAUGCAAAAGAACAACAAUUUCGAGAAUGCCAAAGUCGAUAAAUCAAAAUAAAAAAGCGAGAGCUCAGAUACGUAAGUUCACCAUUACGACAAAUUGCACCGAACUACGGUUUGCAAACCGUACUUUCUUUUCGUAAACAAACUGGAAUUUGAGUAGGAAAUGAGCAAAAUCAAAAGGCUUUUUUCUAUUUCUAUUUUCAAUUUACAGUAAAAAUUGCGAAGAAAUUUUUUCUGAAAAGUUUAAAUAAAAAUAAUAUCAUUUUCAUGAAUUUUAGCGCACUUCGUUGUAGGACCAAGUUUAGAGAGUUCAAUAUGUUCCUUUAAAAUUUACCACUGUAGUUUAGAUUUUGUUUGCAAACAGAACCAGUCGAAGUUUUUGUUUCUCCUUACUUUUCUGUUUUCGUUCUCUCUUCUAGCUCAUUUCAAAACUUUUAAAAUUAAAAUUAAUGCAAAAUUGCAUUAAAAUCGAUUUUUAAAAAAAGAAUUAAGCUUAAAAAUAGUGAAAAAGCAUAAUUUUGCCCGAUUUACAUAAGCUGAAAAGUUUCCAUUACUGAAAUAACAGAAAAAUAUUCUGAAAGCCCAACAAAAGCUGCGCCAACUAUGCAGUUGACGCGUCUCUAGUGUACCGGUGCACGCAAAACACGUCAACUCUCCACAAAGACCGGUCCUUGCGGCGGCGGUCGGCUCCCCAUCAUCUGGUUGGUUUGCGCGGCGCCACUCUCAGGGCCGGAAUUUUGUGCUCUUCGUCUCAAGACGGUCUAUUUGUUUCGCUUUUUCCUUCUCUAUCAGUUGACUCGAAAGUUGGUGUGCCCGGUCGUCCUUUCCUUUUUUCUUUUUCCUCGUUAAAACCCACAUAGACCCCCCACCAAAUCAUCUCAGGCGCCCUCCCGUGAAGAAGCUCCAGUCAUUUCAUGUGUCCAUUGUUCUUAGGCGCUGACGCUGGUGCUGUUAGUCUGCGCAACAAGAAGAAUGUGUUGGGUGGUAGUUGGCCACACGCACACAAUUUGGGGAGAGGACAGCCGGGGGCAGACUCCCGAAUCGAUAAUUUUCUCAAGGGCAUCAACGGACACCCCCCAACGCUCUACCCCCACCCUCAUCGUCACCAACAUUUCCUUUUUUUUCUCGUCCUGCGCCCUUCUUUGUUCUGAUUUUUUUUUUGGCGAAAAGUUUUUGUCUUUUUUUUGAAAACUUUAUUCCUUGUCGAUUCCUAUUUUAAAUAUUUCCAAAAAAAAACUUGAAAAUUGCUUUUUUUUUAAUUUUGGCCAAUUUCGAAAAUAAUUGCAUAAUUCUUCAUUAAAAACGAAAGUUGAUUAUUUUGAAUAUAUAGUUUUUUUUUCAAAAAAAAAACUAUGAUUCAUCUAAAUAUAUUUUUUCAUUUCACUUUUUCUAAAACUAUGAAUCAUUCAUAUUAGGAUAAAUAUAUAUAUAUAUAAACAAUUAAGAAUUAGUCUGUUUUAGGACUGAUUUUUUAAAAAUUCUUAUGUUAUUUAAAUAAAAAUAUAUAAAUUCAACUAAAAUCUCAAAUUCGGCCAAUUUGUCCCAUUCCUAGCGGCCGGAAUUAAUAUUUAUCCAAUUACUGUCUCGUUUAGAGGAUUUCUAAAGUUUUUACAUUAUUUUUCUGUUAGUUUGUACACCUAUUGACUGAAAAUGUGCCUAAAUUAUCAAAAAAUUAGAUAUAAACGACCGAAAUUUGCAAAACAAAGGAGCUUUAAUACAUAAAUAUUGAUUUUUCGACCGUUGUGGCUCUGAGAGGUUGGCAAAUUUGAACAUUUCAGCUAAAGAUAGCUGCCCAAAAAAUUUGCUACUCCACUUUAGAAUCAAUUUCAGCCUGAAAACUUUUCAAAUCCGAGGUUUUAAUUUCAGUUUUCCUAUUACUUUUCAACAUCAAAUUGCCGAGAAUGUUAUAGCAAUAAUGAAAUGAAAAAAGGAAGACGAACGAACGAGAAACAACAAAAAAACUUUCACAAUUUCCAUUUCAUUCAUACCAUCAUCAUCAUCUCUUCAAACUUCCGUUUCAUUCUUUCCCAUUUUUUCCGGUUAUUGUUGUCUGUGUGUGUGUGGUGAUGUAAUAGUUCUACUACAAUAAUUCGUUCUUCUUCUUUUCUCACUUUUCCCACCACAUUCACAAUCACACCUAAUCCAAUUUAUUGAUUUUCAGCAAAAAACUCUCAAUGAGGGAGUUCAAAGUGGUCGUUCUGGGUAGUGGAGGUGUCGGAAAAUCGGCGUUGACGGUGCAAUUUGUCAGUAGCACAUUCAUCGAGAAGUAUGAUCCGACGAUUGAGGACUUUUAUCGCAAGGAAAUUGAAGUGAGAGCGAUUCAUUUUAUUUUAAAUUUAAAAAAAAAAAAAGAAAAUUCGGUUGAAAUCAUGGCGCUUGAAAUUUUCAGAAUGGUUUAAAGUUUCUAAAAAUUCAUUAAAACAUUAUAUUAAGCUUUGAAAUUGAAAGAUUUUAGAACUCCCAUUACUUGCUCCCUGAGAAAAAGAAUUUUACAGUUUUUUCCUACAAUAUUUGAUUUUGUAGCAUUUUUACUACUUCUUCAUGUAUUUAAAGCUAUAAAAGUUCUUGUUUAUAGGAUUUUUGGGGAUUCUAUGUGUUUUUCGGCGAAAGUCUAAAAAUUAUCGGUUUCAGUAGUUUUUAAUCAAAAAAUCAUCAGUUUUCUUGUAAAAAACUGGAAAAAAGAGAAAAUCUGUUGAAUACCGAACGAAUUUGCAAAAAAAGUCAAAAAUCGAGCAUUUUAACGAAAAACUGUAAACUCCUUCUCCUCGGGGAGUACACGAGCGAUCGUAGCUUCAAAAUUGCUUUAGAAUUUUAAUUUUCCCAAAACUCCCUUUUAAAUGUUAGAAACUAGUAAAAAAUAGUGCAAAAGCGUUUUAAAAAUCUAAAUUUGGAGAAAUUCGCCGAAAAAUUGCCGAAACUAGUCAUAUAUAUUCUAAAAUCCAAGAAAAAGGAAAAUUAGACUGAAUAUUCGUAAAAUCUGGUAAAUUCGAGCCAAAUAAUCUGGAAAUUAAUAGAAACCGAGUAAUAAGUUCAAAAAAACAAUUAAUUUGGGUAAUUUUAAGCAAAAUAAAUUUAAAAAACUACGGAAAACAGAAAAAUUAGAAUGAAAACAAUCAAUUUCCAGGUGGACGGUCAACCAUCAGUACUGGAAAUUCUGGACACUGCAGGAACGGAACAAUUUUCUUCGAUGCGGGAUCUUUAUAUCAAAAAUGGACAGGUAAAUCUUGAAUUUUAAUUAAUUAUCUAAAAAUUAUUUUUAAUUUAUUUUCAGGGCUUCGUUGUUGUCUACUCGAUCACCAGUCAACAGACGUUUCAUGAUAUUCGAAAUAUGAAAGAGCAAAUUGUCAGGGUUAAGGUUGGCUUUUAACUUUAAAAAUGUAUUGAAAAAUUGUGAAUUCACUAAAAUCAAUUUCUUCAGGGAUCCGAAAAUGUGCCGAUUUUGUUAGUUGGAAACAAAUGCGAUCUUUCACAUCAGAGACAAGUACGAUCAGAGGAAGGAUUGGCGUUGGGUGAGACUUUUUUAAUUUGAAAAAUCAAAUUUAAAUUUUAAAAAAAUAUACGAAAAACUGAUAUUUUGAAAAGAAAAAUAGCCGCAGAACCUCUUACACAGCUUUGUGUCGAUUUACGCAGCUCGUGUACUCCUCGAGGAAAAGGCUUUUACAGUUUUUGGCGAAAAUUCUUGAAUUUACGCUAUUUACGGCAAUUUGUCAAUCUAUUUUUCAUUCAUUGUGUUUCAGGUGAAAAUAAACAUAUUUUUCUGCAAUUUUUAAUUGCAAACACAACGAUUUUCGCCUGAACCACUGCCAAAAAGAGUUAGAUUCAAUGUAUUUGGAUCGGAGAACUGCAAAAAAAAACAAAAAUUUUGCUAGUUUUUCAACAAGGAAUACAAUUAUUUUCACUCUAAACAAUGUGAAGCUCUCCUCCUCGGGGAGUACAGCUUCGUAAAUCAUUGCAUGGCCAUGGUCAAAAAAUAUUUUGUUAAUCGGAAAACGAAAGCUUUCGAUUUCCAGAAAAUUCAAAACACAAAGUUUUUAACAUUUUAUCAAAUUUUGUUUGGGAAAAAAGUUUAUUUUAAUAAUACAAUUUACUUCUAAAAAGAAAGAAAUUUUAAAGUCAUUUUCUGGAAAAAUCGAUUUUUUUUCAAAAUAGAAAGUGAUACAAUUUUCAAAUAAAACAUUAUUCAAAUAAUUAAUUUUGAAAUUUCAGCCGAAAGUUGGUCAUGUCCAUUCACUGAAUGUUCCGCAAAAAACAAUCAAAAUGUGAAUGUCACAUUUGCGGAAAUCGUACGAGAAAUGAAUUAUGUGCAGAAUAAAUCAAGACAAAGCAAAUCAUGUUGCUCUCUGAUGUGACCCGAAGCUUCAUCCCCCAUCCCAAACAUCCCAUCCCAUCCAUUCUCCCUGUUUUAUGAUCUUUUACCCCUCCAUAUACCCCAUUCAAUCGAUUCGUUGGGAUUCACAAAAUUGCUCAUUUUAUAUCCAUAUUUGCACAUGUAAAUCGUCCACGGUCGUGUCACUUUCUAUUUAAACCUGCGAGAAAUUCGAUGGCGAAAAUUCGAAUUUCAAUCAAUUUGUAGAUUUUUUACGGGCUCACAUUUUCUCUUUUUUUCCCCCAUUUUUUUGUCAAUUUUUGAUUGAUUUGCAUGACUUUCCUUCUUUUUUUUCCACCCAACCCCUUUCCAUACAAUUUUCGUGUGCUAUGAACAUGAUGAACUUGCUCCAAUUUUUUCCCGAUUUAUUUCACUAAAAAAAAACAACCUACUGAUGUUUUACAACGAAUUCAAAAGCCAAAAAUGGCACAAAAACUUAAAUUAAAUUUUUUGGAAUUAGAAAAUUAAAAAGUAGGAAAUUGCAGGAACGACGAUGGAGAUGAGAAUCGAGAAGCUCGUUGGACUGGAAUUACAGUAAUCUCCAUUGCAAGUGUAGCAUUGUCCGGUUCCACCUUGGGCUUGGCAUUGCGUCUGGAAAUUAAUUUUUGCACGAAAAAAUAUAUAAAUUUAUUUUUACUUACCAUAAGCUGAGUACAGGCGACCAGGGCAUUUCCAGGAUCAUUACAUCCUUUAGUGGUCUGACGGACUGAAAAUUCAGAUUUUACAGAUAAUUUCCAGGCUUAAAACUCACAUUUCUUCGGAUUGUUCACUUUACAGUCGAACUUCAUGCAGGUGUAGAUGUUUCCCGGGCAGACUUGAGUGAACGCAUUGAGAAUACUAUUUUGGACGAAGCAUGUUGUGGAUUCUGAAAAAAAGUCAAUGUUCCAAAGCUCCAAGGUCUCGCCACGAAAGAAAUAUUUGCAAAUCGUGAAAGGUACGCGCCUUUAAGCGGUACAGUAACGACUUUUUUUUUCAGAUUUUUCGGUUUAUUUUCAACUUAGUUUUCAAAUAAACAUUUUUGAACCCUGGAAAAACUGUACCUCUUAAAGGCGCACACCAAGCCCCUUAGAUCAGAUCUCGACACUACCCAUUAUUAAAUUUGCAAAAGUGUUUGCGCCUUUGAAGAGUACGGUAGUUUCUAACUUUUCUCAGAACAGUUUUCUCCUGUUUUCUAAAAAUUGUUUCAUUCUCAAGUAAUUUCACUUGUGUAAUUAUCAUUUUUUGAUACUUAAAAAACGGAAGAAAAAACUAUAGCAACUAAAUAAAGAAAACCCGGAAACAAUCUGAAUACUACAGUACUCCUUAAAGGUGCACACUCGUUUGAAGAAUAGUAAGCUAAUAGAUUUUGUCUUAAAAAAGUCGUUUCGAGACCCGGUACAGUACUCUUGGAGGCAACACGUUCAAAAUUUCGCCAGUCCUGUUAUAAAUCUAGAUUCAAUUCUCACCUGUCUCUGAAAUCCAGAGUACCAGAAUCGAGAUUGCGAGUAGAAGUUUCAUGGUUUCGUAUUCGUAUCGUAUUGCGAAUAUAAAACGAAAAAGCACAGAAAAAAUAGCUUUGUGAAUGAAUGAAUGAGUGAAGGCCCGAGCGGCGGCGGGAGGGUCCGAUAGAUGUUGUUUCAAACGGUUUCCAAUGGUUUCCAGCACGCGGUGCGCUCAAGUUUCUAGGAGACAAAGUCAAAGCACUUAAAGCUUUACGGCAUAAAUUUUGUGUAUAUGUGUGCUUUUGUGACCACUUUCUUCCCAUUUCUAUGUAUAAAUGUAUUACGAAAGGUGCGUCCUGGGGGAGGCAGGGAGAAAAUAAGAAAGAUGGGAUGAAUAGAAUGGAAAAGCAUCUGUGUCUGUGAGUUUGUGAGUACUGAAACAAUAGAUUCCAUUUUUGUGAUUUGUUAUGAAAAAUUGAGGAGAUUUUUGGAAGAGAUCUUUUGCAUAGAUCACGGGCACAAAUGUUAUUGAUGUUUUUUGAAACUUGAAAUGACAAUUUUGAACUGAUAAUUUCAGACAAUUUUCAUUUUAUUCCAGGCAUUUUUAUUUAAAUAAAAUUAUUUCGCUAUUAAUAGCUAUUUAAAAUAAACAUGUUCAAACAUCACUUUCAGGUGCAUUGAGUGCAGCGUUGCGUCAUGGUGUUUACGGAGCGAGCGCGCGAAACCUUGCUGUUUGAAUGAGAAAUGCGCGAAUUUGGGCCGAAUUUUUCUAUUUUCCCCGCUCUUCUCCGUGCUUUCUAGUUUCUAUUCGUUUAUUUUUUAAUUUUAAGUUUCUUUUGUUAAAAACAUCUUAUUUUCAGAAAAAAUGGACGGACAAGCUGAUGGAAUGUUCAUUGAUCGUGCCGAGGAUGCUCGAAAACAAGAAAUCACGGAGCAGUAUCUCAACUUUUUGGACAAUCAAGCCGACACUUUUCACUAUCGUCAGAAAAUUGUGAAAAUGAUGAAUGAUGGAGAAAGUCGUUUGGUGAUGAAUCUCGAUGAAAUCAGGGAAAUUCUACCAGAAAGAGCUGAAGGGUAAUUAAUAAAAAAUAAAGAAUUCCCGAGUAUUAAAGUUUUCAGGCUAUUGACCCAAAGCGUUCUUGAGAUGAAUUGCUUACAAUCUGCACUUCAAAUGGCUAUUAAUCGUAGUGAUGUUCAAGCUGUUGUCAAAACGUGAGUAGCUUUUAAAAGCCGUUUUUGUUUUUAAACAAUUUGUAUUUUCAGUGGAUUCCACGUCGGCUUUGAAGGAACUUUCGGAGAGCGCCACGUCAAUCCACGUACUCUCAAAUCAUCAUAUCUUGGAAACCUUGUCUGCUGUGAGGGAAUCGUCACAAAGUGUUCAACUGUUCGUCAAAAACUUCUCACUUCUGUCCACUAUUGUCCAGCAACAAAUAAAGUGCUCGAGAAGAAAUUUGCCGAUUUCACUAUGCUCGACACUGCAGUCACCAAUAACAACUAUCCAACAGAAGAUGAAAAUAAGAAUCCUCUUGAAACAGAAUUCGGACAUUCAGUUUACAAGGAUCAUCAAACGUUCACAAUUCAAGAGCUUCCAGAAUCCGCACCAGCCGGUCAACUUCCUCGGGCCGUCGAUUGUGUUGCUGAUCUUGAUUUGGCAGAUCGCGUCAAGCCUGGAGAUCGUGUCCGCAUCAUUGGAGUCUUCCGUGUUCUGCCGAAUAAGCAGAAUGGAGUUUCGUCUGGAUCCUUCCGUUCGAUCAUCAUCAUUAAUCAUAUUCAAAUGCUUUCAAAGGAGGUUAUUCCAAACUUUGAGCCACAAGAUGUUAAAGAUGUUCGUAAAAUUUCAAAGUCAAGAAACCCAUUUGAGCUGCUCGCUCGGUCACUUGCUCCAUCAAUUUGCGGCCACGAAGAGACAAAGAAAGCGUUGCUCUGUUUGUUGCUAGGUGGAAUGGAAAAGAUUCUGAACAAUGGUUCUCGUUUGAGGGGAGAUAUCAAUGUUCUUCUCAUCGGAGAUCCAUCUGUUGCCAAGUCUCAACUGCUUCGAUAUGUUCUUCGUAUGGCCCCAAGAGCUAUCACCACAACUGGACGUGGAUCUUCGGGUGUUGGACUUACUGCUGCUGUUACUACUGAUCCUGAUUCGGGAGAACGUCGUCUUGAAGCUGGAGCAAUGGUUCUCGCCGAUCGUGGUGUCGUUUGUAUUGAUGAAUUUGACAAGAUGUCUGAUAUUGAUAGAACUGCAAUCCACGAAGUUAUGGAACAGGGACGUGUCACAAUUUCGAAGGCUGGAAUCCACGCGAAGCUGAAUGCUCGUUGCUCGGUUCUGGCUGCAGCAAAUCCGGUGUACGGACGAUACAAUCCAUUCAAAUCUCCAAUGGAAAACAUCGGAAUGCAAGAUUCACUCCUCUCGCGUUUCGAUUUGAUCUUUGUACUUCUUGAUGAGCAUGAUGCGGACAAGGACGCUAAUGUCGCUGAACAUGUGCUCAAGCUUCACACUUACAGAACCCAAGGUGAAGCCGAUGGAACUGUUCUUCCGAUGGGUGGAGGUGUUGAGACGAUCAGUACAAUCAAUAUGGAGACUAAGAAGGCGAGCAGCUCGAUCUAUGAGGAAAAUACCCAAUGGGCUGGUAUUCAAGAGUGAGUUUCUUUUAUAAAAAAACAAUAUAAAUUAAUUAAUUUCUCUAUUUCAGCACGAAAAUCCUGACAAUGGACUUCAUGAGAAAGUACAUCCAUUUGGCAAGAUCAGUUCAACCAAAACUCACCGAUGAAGCUACUGAGUACAUUUCUGAAGUAUAUGCCGAUAUUCGUUCAUUUGAUAUCACCAAAACUGAUCAAGAACGAACAAUGCCUGUCACCGCUCGUCAACUCGAAACAUUGAUUCGUUUGUCAACUGCUAUCGCGAAGGCAAGAUUCUCGAAAAAAGUCGAACGAGAGGAUACUGAGAAAGCUUACAAUCUGCUCCACUUUGCCUGUUUCAAGGAGAAGCCAAAGGCUCGUCAAGAGUAUGAGAAGAAGAAGCGAGCUCCACGAAUUGAUGGUGACGAUGAUGAGGAUCAGAGCGAUAACGAGGACAUGGCAACAUCGGAAGAGCCUCAAUCUAGCUCCGUUCCGACUGCAGCCACCCCGCGUCGUGGAGUCAGAAGGCGUGCUGAAGAUGAUGAUAGCCAGGAUUCUAUGAUGGAUACUACCAUUGGAGAAAGUCAGCCAACUGCUAAGAAAGCACGUACUGGACCGGCUGCCAUCGGAGUUGAUCGUUAUAAGGAGCUUCGGAAGUACGUCAGAAAGGCGUUCGACGACAUUGGAAGCACCGACGAUAUGGUUGAACUUCAAAUUAUCACAGACAGUAAGCAAAUGUUUCAUUAAAAAUGUUUAUUACAAAAAUGUUUUCAGGUGUUCAAACUCAAGCCGGAUCACACAAGUUCACUGAGGAUGAGCUGAAGGCUGGAUACGAACAAUUGGAAAACGAUAACGCUGCAAUGAUUGCCGAAGAUAAGAUCACUCUCAUCUAAUUUCCUGCUGGAAGCUGGAACAUAAGCCCCGUUUUCUUUUCGAUCUCUCAAUCAAAUCAUUAUUUUAUCCUUUUUUUCACCUGAUUAUCAUUCCUAUUUCAUUUUAACUAGGGUCUCCUAAUCCACUCACAUUGAUUUUACAUUGCCUAUUGUACUAUGUUGUCUCUCUCUUUUCUCUUUAUUCCUCCCCCUAUUAUAUCUCUUUAUCAAUCGCGUAACCGGAUAAAAGAAGUACUCUUGGUCAUUGAUUCUUUGUGGAGACUGUCUGAACGCCGGUCGACAUGCGAGCCUUCUUUCCACGUUUCGCUGCCUUCUCCUGUCGAUACUGAAUUCCGGUACAUCCGAGUCGAUGGUCACCAACCAACGGAAUGGUGUUCGCUUGAACCGCUUUGCAACGAUUUGUGUCAGGGAAUUCCAUUGGCUUCAAUUCGAUUCUCACAUGAAUUUCCUGGAAAACAAUUAUUUGGAAAGGAAUGAGAAAGUGGAAACAUACCUCAUUUUUCUUGAACAAAACUACAUUCGUCUCUCGGAUAUUUCGAGUUUUUAUUCCUUUCAGCGCCUCCAAAAUUUUUUGCUCAAUUGUUGGAAUUUCAUUCCAAUUAACACGAAUUUCAAUCGAUUGUUGAACGGAAGAAGACGUCAUUUUUUAGAUUCGAAGAUAUAGGAAAUACAUUUUUUUGGAACGAUUUAUUAGCUUUUUUUAUUUUGAAAUGUUUUUCAGCGUGAACAAAAAAAUAUAGAAACCCGCUUAAUAAAUAUGAGAAAUUAAUUAUUUUCGAAUUAAUUUAACAGUUUGCAUUUGUCCUGUGCAGUUGUGUGACACGGAACGGAGAAGAGCUCGCCGGGACAAUCCAAUCAACUUCACAAAUCACCUGAUUUCGUGAUUCGAUCAAUUUAUCGAUAUCAUACACGGAAUUCCGAUCGAAAACGUUUAAAUCGUUUCCAUUUGGGAAGAGGGCGCCGGCGAUUGCAAUUGUUCCCAUUAAAUCCACGUUUCGAAUUAUUACGGUUAUUGAGUUUGGAGUGGGUCCGGGUGUCGACUGAAUUAGAGAAUUCGGAGAGCAUAAUUCCAGAAUUGAAUGCUGAAAAUGUUAUUGUUAAAUCGUAAAACAUUUAAUUCGGAAAGCAAUGGGUCUCGCCACGAUUUUCGAAAUUUUGCUAUUUGCAAAAAAGGCCUUUAAGAAGUACAGCAACCAGUUUCUCCAUUUUCUUGUUAACUUUUUUGUUGAAAACCUAUAGAAACGAAAAAUACAUGUUUUUAUAUACUUGAAUACAGUUGUGACGUAAUUUUUCUACACUUUUUAAUUUUCCGACAUUACUUGAAUAACCCCAUUACAGUAGUCCUUUGAAUACGCACACCUCUUUUCGUGAAUUCUGUUUGAAAAUACAUCAUUCGUGGCCAGAUUUAAAUAUACUAUUUUGAGAAUUUUCCCGCAAAAAUAAAAAAAAAAGCUUGCAGAUUCAUUGGCCGGAAAAUUAUAACUACAAAAAAACCAAAUCCUAUUCCAUUUUUGCAAUCAUAACACGAUGCCCGGUCUCGCCACGACAAAUUUUUGUUCCAUGUGAAGAGGUGUGCGCCUUUAAAUAUUACAGUAAUUUUACAUGUUUUCUGUUCGAAGCUGCAUUGCCCUUUAAAGGCGCACACCUUUAUGCAUCUAACAAAAAUUUGUCGUGGCGAGACCAGGUACCGUAUUUUUAAAGCAAAUUUUCACAACUGGCCGAGAAAAUGAAGAAAAAAAACUCGGUCAUCAAUCAAAUUCCCACCUUUUCAAAUCGUUUCAUAAAAACGAUAUUAUCCUUGUACAUUGUGGCGUCGGCCAUUAUGAACUGUGAAAAUGGGAAUAAAUUCAAAUUUCCUGAGAACUGAGGCUGUGAUGACGUCACCACUACAAAUUUUAUUUUCUUUGCUGGAGCACCAUAUGAUGCCAAAUCUGAAAACAUUAUUAAAUGAGCCGAAUGGAAAUAGUGAAACAAACUUUUUGAGAUUUGUUUUUUCUGAGACGGCAGCCCGGUAUCUACCACAAAAACGCAUGCACCAUCCCGAACGAGAACAGAAUUUGUAUGAAGUUUCAGAGAGUUUGAGUAGUUUCCACGGCUUAACGACGGGAUUGUGAGCAUUUGAAGAACAACGUUGGAUUUCUGGAAAAAAAAAACCGAAAUGUAUCAGAUUUUACGCGCAAAAAAAUUCUUAGAAACCCAUACUUUCACCGGUUGCCGUUUUCUCGUAGUUGUAACCGUCGUGGUCGUGGUCUUCGGAGUCGUUAGAAUUACUUGAUUUUUGAAAGCAGCAUCACUUUCUAGUUGUUCUAAAUUUCCAGAUUUAAGACAAUUCUUCUACCACAGCUAACCUUUCGAACUCCUGAUAUAGACACUAUAGUCGUAAUGUGAUUGCCUUGGAUAAAAGUUCCAGUUCUCUGGAUAUGAUUGCUUAUUCUGAUUACCAACCAACCUAACCAGCAGUUCAGGUGUUCCACAACACACAUAAUCUUGACUUCCAUCCGGUUGGCAGAAGCUCAUUUGACCUCCAGUUUGGAGAAUGCAGGGGUCCGGGUGUCCCUGGAAAAGUUUAAAAUUGCGCGUACGGUGGAGCUGUUGGGGGUACGGUAGCUAGCGUGAUUCGGAGAUUAUUCUCGGAUAUACACUGUACUGGUACGGUUGGGUACGGUAGCAGCGUAAAAGAAAAUAUUCUAGAACUGAUCCAUGGCUGUGUGGCAACCAGAAAUCGCCAAACGCUAACAUGUCCGGUAACCAGCAACAAUCGGUCACCGAAAUUUUAGAGUUUCAAUUAAAUUAACGUUUUGAACAACUUUUUUUGGAGUAUUAUUUUGAAAAAAAUGUAUACAUUUAGGUGAAAUGUUUUUUUUUCCAUAUGAUAAAAUGUUUGCAUAUUUCAAAUUUUCUGAAUGUGUUUUUUAGGAGGACAAAAAUAAAUGGUAUAUACCAUUUAUUUUUGUCCUCCUAAAAAACAUCGGCAGCUGAUAAUCUUCGAGUAUUGAUUUCCAGAAAUUGUGACAAUUUUUUACAGAAAUCCGAAAAAAAAAUUACCGGCAAAGUAGGCACACAUCUCAUCAGCUGAAGGGUAUCCUUAUGCCUCAAUUGAGUUAAUCCUUUGUCGCAGCAUUCGACAAAAAACGAUGAGAUUGAAAGUAAUAUGUAGAAGGUUAUGUAGAAGUUAUAUAGAAGAUUUCGUCGCAUCUGAAACAAUUACGUAUUGAUUUUUGAAAAUGUUCUAAGAAAUUAAUGAUGCUUAGAUGAAUGUGUACAAAAUUAAAAAAUAUUUGAUUACUUCGAAAACUGCUUUUAACUUUUUUGAAAACUCAAAAAUAGCUCCAAAACGGCUAAAAAAUGUAAUUCGCUGAAAGAUUUCCGCUGACAAGUGUCAAGAAAUUUUAUGGUAAUUUCCAAAAUUCAUAAAAAUAAUUAAAACAUUUUCAAGUUAAGCAAAGAUUUUUCUACAUUCCUAUAUUAUUUUUUUAAUUGAAACACUCUAGAGUCAUGCCGAAAUAUGCAGUUUUGUACAUUUCCCUAAUAGGAUUUCCGCCCACCUCAUAUCUCGGUUUUGAAGAUAUCAAAAAUGUUUAAUUGAAAAUUAUAGGAAAAUAGAUGAAAAUUCUUUUGUCUGUGGACAAUAUUUCGAUAAACCCAAAAACAACCGAGAUAUGAGGUGGCAAAGUUGAACAACAAUUAUUCUUUUUUUUUCAAAAUUUCAGAGAAUCGGGUAAAAAAGCAAAAUCUCAGUUAAAAAAUGCCAAGAGUAAGGAAACAGCAGGAAGUGAUAAUGUGGGAGAAAUAACAAAAAAAAAGUGUGAUAAAAUGAUAAUUGAAGUGUCCUCCAGGACGGUUGCGCGGCGGGAGCCCACCGCGCGCGAUCCUCACCGGAAGUGUUGAGGAUGACCAAACAAACUCUGAUUUCGAUACAUAUAUACACAGCGAAAUCUGGAUAAAUCCGAGACAACGAAAAAUGGACUAUGAGAAUGGAGUGGGAGAGGGAGGAGAACAAUGGUUUGAACAAAUCGGUGAAUUGAAUUGAGGCCAGAGUUUUCGAAUUGAAAAUUGAAAGGAAUAGAGGAGAGAUGCUGGGGAACUAUUCCACUAAAACUAAAUCUUUAGAACCAAUAUUACCUCGUCUUAAUUGUUUUUCAAAUAUUAUAACAGUUUCAAACUGUAAAACUACAAAGCUUACCGCUGUUGUGUUUACCUACACGUUCUAGAGAGUAUCAAUUUUUCGAAAAAGGAGUGCACUCAAAACUGCUAUACAUUCUUAGAAAUCCAAAAAUCCUCGGAAAAUUUAGUGUAACAGUUACUACAAUAUAUGAAAAUGUUUAAUGUCUGAGUGUUCCCUGAAACUUUUAAUUUUCCACUGCAAACAUAUUGUGACACAUUUUGAAAUAGGCAAGCAUGCUCUUAUCAGUGAUUUCAUUUUUUUUUUCCGAAUUACACUCAUUUUAGUUUUUAUUGAAUAAUAUUACAAUUUCCCUAAUAAAAUGUCAACAUCAAUUGAUGAACUGUAAGUACUGUUUUCCAAAUUCUAAUUUUCCAAAACUCCAAAAAACUUAGGUCAAAAACCGCUUCACCAUCUUUCUCCGAGUUGCCAAUUGAACUGGUAGGUGAAGUUUUGAACAAGUUGGAUCCAAUUGACAGGUAAGAUUCUUGCGUUGUUAAGCUUUUUCUGUCUUAAAAGUGUAAUAGCACCGGUAGGAAAUGGUAAAAUACAACUCGUUUGGUGCCAAAAUGAUUGAAUUUUUUUUACAGUCAAAAAGUGACUUGAUCUUUUUCGAGAAAAAAAUCAUACAAAACUUAGAAAUUUUUUUUUGGAAUUUUUUACUCUGAUAUUUGACCAUUGUGGUGCGACAGGCAUGUUUUAAAACAAUUUCCCCACUGGUCCCCCUCCACAUUUAAAUGUUUUUACUCAAACAAAAAUUCACCGAAUAAUUGUGCCUGUUUUCAAAAUUUCAGCAAGGUGUACGCUUAAAUACUCAAAGUUUUUCCAGACUUAUUGCCUGGAAAGUUUCGUCCAAAUUUCAAAAGAUCCUUAUGGUCAUGGAACCUGGUUUCAAAGAAAUCAAAGUCGAUUUCAUUGAAAGAAAUGUGCACCUAAUUCUCGAUGGCAAUGUUUUACAGUACAAACCCACAAAAACUGGAUGCAUUGUCAAACGAAAUAAUCAUUUUUCUUCACUAAAAAAUCAUGAUUAUAUCGAAACUGCCAUCAGAGAUCUCAGGCUAAUUUUCAAACGCCCGAAGCUCGAACUGCACUUAUUUAGUGUAAUCAUAGAAAUUCUUUAUAAAAAGGAAGAACGAGAUCGUCUAUAUAUGUUUUUAACGGAGCUUAUGAGAAGAGUGGAACCAAUCAAUACAAAAACAAUAAGCUUUACUCGUAUGCAUUGUGAAGAAAUGAAAUCCAUUUUGUCAUUGUUGAAUGCAAACAAUAUUGAGAAAAUUGAGUUGAAUUUUCAUCAUGGAAUACUUUUGGAAAAUUAUCUUGCACAGUUGGAACAGUGGAAAAAUGCCAAAGAAUUGUGUGCCAGUGCUGUUUUUGCAGGCUUUUACACCUCAAUUGAGAACUUAUUCAAUUUUCGAAAAUUUGAAAUCAAUCUGGAGACUUUUACUGUAGCGGAUGCUGUUAAAAUUAAAAAUGUAAGUUUAUUCAUAUAACAAGUAGUCUAAAACUUGUUUCAGAUCCUUCUUAAUUCUGCCAACUUCAACUACUGCAAAAUCGAAUAUUCUAUGCAAUUUGUGGCACAUCGAUUCGAAGUUGCAAGGCUUUUUCAACCAAGCAACACAAAUGGAAAUUUGGAUUAUUUUGCUUACAAAUGCUCUGGAGGGAAUUAUAUCAUAUUCCUUGAUGAUUACCAUCUUGAGAUUCAAAGAGAAAAUGAUGAAAGCUAGAAAUCAAAUUUGUUGAAAAAUUUUUUAUUUGUUGCUUUUGUAGAAUAAAAAAAAAUAGGUGAAGAGUAGUCUAGAUUUGGAAACAAAAAUUAUGAACUUAACAGCAAAUAAGCUUCCGUCGUGUUUUUCUAUAAUAUUUUAAUUAUAUAAGAAACAGUUUUUUAAUAAAAACAAUCAAGCGCAUUGUAUAUCCACUGAAAAAACUUUGUUGUAGGACCCGGAUUUUUUGGUUUCUAGAGUUUUGAGGGACAAAAGGCGUUAUGUUCAAGUUUUUACAAAAACUCUUAGGCUGGGUUUUUGAACAAAAUAGAACUUUUUCAAGUAAACAAUACUUAGCUCUAUAUUCAAAUAACGAGAUCAACUUUCAUAAAAAUAAAGUUCAAACUCAAAAGUCAAAGACUCGCAUGAAAAAUGGAACGGUAGUCAUACUCUGGCUAUCAUGUCCGUGCGGCGCACACAAACUUUUUCCGCCUCUUACACCGUAUUCAUCACCUCCUUUGAAGAUGAUCUUUGCCGUAGUGGUGUCUCACAGGAUCUCGCAACGUAAACUGAUAUCUUAUGAGGGAAGAACAAAUAAGUGUAGAGAGGGGCAAAAGACAUACAGUAGCUAGAUCUGGACAUGAAGAAAAUGAGCAUUGUGUAAAGAGCAUGGUUUAAGAAAAAGUGAAACGCGUAAAAACUUGAAGAUGACGGUUUGACGAUGGUUCGAAAUGUGAACAUUCAAGAAGUUCACAAUUCCAUUGUAUGCAAAACGUGUUGAAAUUUGAUUUUUUUUAAAUUAUAAAUGUGAAGUUUUCAUCGAAAACUUCCUCUUUCGAAUAAAAUUAAAAAAAAAAGAAUUAUUGAAAAAGUGAUAGAACUGAUGAGUAGUGAUAUACGCCAGCUCUUCCCAACUAACGAAAAUUUUCAUUAUUUGUCAUUUUUUAAGAUUAGAAAUUUUGUAAUAUUUUCGUUUUGACGCCGAUUCCAAAAGGUCAUUAUAAAGUAUCUAGAGACACAACCUUUGCUCUAAACAGCAAUACCAAGCGCCCCAGUCCUCCGCACCUGAUCUCUGCAAGUGGUACGACAGAUCCACAAGCAAAUCGGGAGGGGCCAUCCAAUCUCGGAGUACCUGUCACCCGGAACGGUUAAAAGCUAGCCUCCGGCCCAAAACAAGGCGAAUCGACGCCAGAAUUGCGACUUUCAACUGCAGGUCUGUCUCCUCCAACGACAGGCUUGCAGAACUGCUCGAAGAGACGAAGAGAAUCAAGUUCGAUAUUAUCGGACUCUCUGAAACAAAAAGAGCAACGGAAAAGCAUGCAAUUGGCGCCGACGGGGUCGAGAUCUUUCUAGGAUCUCGAAACCCAAAUUCUGUUUCAGGAGGGGUCGGCUUCAUCGUCACAAGCACCUCCUCCCCCGAAUCACUGAAGUAGUUUUCUCCAAAGUAACAUCCAUUUCAACAUUAAUUUGGCGAAACUAGAUCAAGUGAAAAGGAGAAAACCCCCGAAAAGAGUUUUGGAUAAAGCUACAGCUCUGGCUGUCAGCGCAACAAUUACUGCCCCUGCUCAUGGAGAUAUUGAUGAGGACUACAAGAUCCUUGUCGACUCUCUCAAAACAGCCCAGGAUCAAUCAGUAAUUCAACCAUCCAUCCACUCCGCCAACCGACUCUCGGAGGAAACUCGACAAAUGCUCUUCAAAAGACGUCUUAUGGACAGAUCAGACCCAAAUUUUAAGUAACUAUCUAUAAAAUGUAGGGAAGCAGUCGAGAGAGACCAUGAGAACUUUGCCAGUGCCCGCCUGCUAAAAAAAACUGAGUGACAACUGGGUGACAACUGAGUGAUUUUUUUGAAUCCUUAUACUAGAAGGCCGAAGUAGCUAAUAAUUGAAUGCUUUUAUACACUCACGGUUCACUAUAAGUCACGCAUAUAAAACUUACAAAAAAUCGUAAAUUGACAAAAUAAGUCAAUAGUAAAUUAUUUGCCGACCUAAUAUUACAUUUCAAAAUGUUGGCAAGUAACAUCUCGGGUAUUACACUCUCGUGGGAAUCUCCAAAAUGUUUCCAUAGUUACUCACUCCAUUACACUUUCAAAAAAUCAUAAACUGAACCAACUCUUCUCUCUCCACUUGCUCACACGCAUGAAUGUUUAGUUUUCAGAAGAAAGGUCAGGUCACUUGCCAUCCAGAUACGGUGGAUUUUUAACAGCUCGCGCGUCCGUAUGCUAGUCUUACAUCUAUCGAUUCGUAUAUGCAUAUUUUUGUGUUAAUUAGUUUUGUCAGGUUUUUCAAAACUGACUCUUGUGACAAUUAGUUUCUGUUUCCAUAGUUACUCACUCGUUAAACUUUCCAGAAAUCAUAACCCAUAAAAUAUGACAAGUUAUGUUAAUUUUCUCUGUGGGUCUCGUCCUGAUAUCUAGCAGAUUUCAUCAUUUGAAGCAAUUAAAAAUCUAAAAUUUCUGAUUUGAUUAACACUUAUUUUUCUUGAGCCAGAACUCAAAAACGGGAUUUUAUUUAAAAAUUUGACUUUUUGCAAUCUUUUAAAAAUGGACAUUUUCAAGAAACUUUCCAAGAAAUUUUCAAUUUUUGGCCUCUGAUUUGAAAGUAUGUAGAGACUUUUUUCUUCUGCUCAAUUUUUUUUCUAGUUACCAUAACCCUAUUUUGAAAUCAGUUAUCUAAAACACUAGAUGCACCCAUGUGUUGUCCUCUUCUCUUUCCUCUUCAUGUGUCUUUCCAUCUCUACGUCUCAAUCUCUAACACACUCUCUCCAUCUCCCCCUCUCGAGAUGUUGCGAACUACGCUAGUUGCCUUAUAAUUUUGAAUGUGAGAUUUUCCCGCGCUCAUUUUGAUUAAUUCUUUUUUUAUUUGCUUUCAAGAUUAAAUUCAAUUUCAGAGAAAAAAAACAAGAGCCACUGGUAAAUGAGAAGUUUUGGUUUCCGGGGAUCCCGAUUCCCAAAUCACAUUUAAUCACUUCCUCUGCAUAUUUAUUCAAAAAGUGAGUUUUUAUGUUUUAAAAUAUUGUGAAUAAUUUUUAUCAAAAUUAAAAUAUAAUACUUGAAGUGAAAAAAAACGGAAAAAUAUUAUUUAAAUGUGAAAUAAAAAUCUUGAAAGUAAAAAUUCGAAAAGUUCUGAAAUUUUCAAAUUUUAUCGCUCAUUUCUAGUCAUAUCAAAACGUUAUCAACUACAAAAAAUUAGACAAUAAUAUUAUACAAUUUUUUUAGUUGAAACUUUUUGAUAUCUUGUGAAACAAGCGAGACAUAAGCUGUCAAAGUUUAAAAAUCUUAAAAUUUAAUUUUCAGAGCAUUAGAAAUGUCUGACGAACCACCAAUAGUGCUCCCAACUGAAGAAGAUGGCCCAUUCUCCAACUGUGUAUCGAUUGCAUUUGUCAAUGACAAGAGCAUACCCGUGGAGCUACGAAUUCGAAAAGCUAUUCGUGGAAAAGUCACGUUCACUCAGGAACUUGUAGUCGCUGCACGUAGAUUGUACCUGGAUGGAGAGUUAGAAAGACCUGAUCUCAGUGAGUUUAUUUUUGUUGAAAAAAACUGAUAGAAACAAAAUAGAAAUAGCAUUCGAUUCUACAAAAGCUGAAUGAAAAUAUACAUAAAAUAUUAAAUUAUUUUACACCUAAUUUUUUUUUGAAAAAGUCGUCAACUGAAGUCAUUUUUUAACACAAAUAAUAUUCAAAAAUAUUCAUUAAAACCGCAACAAGAAAACGCACUCUAGGAAAGCGACAGAAAAGGCAAUUAAAAUCCCUCGCCCAGAUGGAAGCUGUUAAAUAAUUAUCUCAAAAUAUGCAAAUUUUUUGGUAAACAUUUACAUAUUUUUCAUUUUUAAAAUUUCAAAUAAAGUGUUUUUAAUGGUUUAAAGUUGAAAUUCCAAUUUUUUAAAUGUAAAAUGUCAACUAAAAAAGACAUUAAAAUCCAAAAAAUACAUAAAAAUAUAUAGAAAAUGUGUUAAUAUUAUGACAACUAAUUGGAAUCGUGCGAGGGCGAGUAAAGGGGCGAUUACGAUGCAACAUGCAUCAUACAUUCUAAAUUUAAUUUAUUUCAGACUACCACGUUGCCGCCGACUUCUAUGAUCCAUUUAUGAUCCCGGUACCAGAUCACCGUAAUUGGGAGUAUAACCCUUUAUAUCCUCGGGAGUGGCGUAAGCUCAAUAUUUCUUUGGUUCUCCCUAGAAAAAUAAAUUUUCAGCUAGACUAAUUGAUAGAGAUCUCGUCCAAAAGAUCAAGAUGUCCAAUACGUACAAAAAGAACCAGGCGAGAAGGAAAAGACGACGACUAUUAAGAAUCUUCCAUAGGAAACGAGGUGGAGAGUUUUUGAACUAUUUAUGGCAUUCGAAGGAGAAUGUGAGUUAACUUUUUUUUUAACUAAAAAAUUUGAAAAACCUCUUAAUCUUCCAGGACGUGCACUACAAACGGUAUAUGGCCGCCUAUCAAUUUCCUCUUCCAUUCGAGAAAUGUAUCAGGGAUGUAGUGAGAGAAGAGCUUAAAGAUCCCGAAACAUCAUUUUCUAAACCACCAUCAGUGGUACAUCAUUCGAAGAUUCGACCAGCCACGCCUGAUUUGUUAAAGUUGGCGAAAUAUCUUGGAAAGGAUCGGUUUUGCUUUAUUGUGACACCAUUUAAAUUUCGAUCUCAAUUCCGUUUACGUUACUACAAGAAAUCUCCAUUCAAACGUUCAAAUAUUCUUGAGAAAUGGUUAAAGUUCAAAAAAGGUAAGGUUCUGAUUUUUGCUUAUUAAUUAACUUUAUCAAAUUUUGUAAAAUAUCACACUUAUAGUUAGCAUGUUUUUCUUUCAAUAAUUUCAAAUACUGUGAAAAACAAAUUUCAAUGCUGUAAAAAUAUGUUGCUCCCCAAAGUAAACUUGAGAUCUAACUUCAUACAUGUUUUAGUGAGAGAUCAAGGUGUGUUCAACAUUCGAGAUGCCGCUCGUGAAGUGAAGAAGCUACUUCAAAGGAAAAACGUCUACCAUAUGACAGACCCGCAAUGUGAGCAGGAGUUCUGGGAUGUAUACAGACUUCAAAUGCAAUGGCGUAAGUUUUUGAGCACUUUUUAAAAUUACGGCCUGUUUAGAGAUUAAAAAAUUUUGUGAAUAUAUUAUUCAAUUUCAAAUUUUUUCUUUUUCCCAUUCUAUUUCGCGGUUUCGGUAUCAAACUUAUUAUAAGAGUGUUUAGGAAUAGGCAACGAUUUUAGAAACUUUCUGGAACAAUUUAAUUUUCUGAAAAAUUUAAAAUUAAAACAAUUUCUGGAAAAACUACCCGGAUUUGUUUGUCAAAGUUUUGGUAAAUUGACAAAACUUCCCAUUGACACAGCACCAUGUUCAAAACUUUUAAUAAAAAGUUAUAAUAUUUUAAGUGGAAGAAGACAACAUCGAGGAAAACAUCACGAUGCUUCGAGAAAAUUUAUCAAAAGUGACAGACGAGGAAUUCAAUAGAUCCGUGUAUAUUAUGAGACCAGAGAAUCGAGCAUCUAUCCACGACGACGUCACAUUCACCACCGAUGCCGAAAUCAAUCUGAAGCCAAUUGUUCUGGAACUUUUUCGAAAUAAUAUGCCACUCGAAGAUAUCAGACAGGUUAAGGAAUGUAUUGACGACAUGAUUAACUUGACUGUCUGCCAAGAACUUAUACCUCAAGUUGCUACAAUUGAGACUGUUCGUGAUUAUUCUGGAGUUGAACAACAUCGUUUAAAGUAUAUUCGCCCAGAAAAUGAGCUGGAGAUAAUGUUCCAAUUAGCUACCGUUCUUGUAAAAAACGAGAAUACUCAUGAUCAAGAAAUCACUUCUCCAAUGUUUGCACUGCUUCGAACAGAACAAUAUUUGUGGUCAAUUCCACUUCGACCAUUUCUUCGAAUGUACACUGACUGGAGGAAAACUAAACUUAAUUUCAAAAAGUUUAGAAAAUUCUCCCCGGAAUUAGUCUCCAAAGCACCAAUUGACUUAUUCAAAGUGUUCCUCACAACUAAUAUGGAUAAGAAAGGAGUUGCCACAAAAGACACGGACUGCUUUGAUUACAGGACAGCAUCUGAAAUAAAGAAGCUUUACCAUGAAGAGUUUAUCAGAGUCCGACCAAUUAUAGAACAUCAGCGUUUUCACAGAUGUUACACCUCUGUAAUUACCGAAGAGCCAUUACCAAAUCCAUUCUAUUGGGUACAUAGGGGCCAAUGGGAAAAAGUUUAUGAAUGUAAUUGGAAGCAACGGGUUAAACCGCUAGCAGGUAGAUUUUCAUGGAAGACUAAACACCCGAAUAUUUGUGAUCUACCACGACUGGAGAAGGAUGAUAAACAGGAAAUGGAGAUGUUGGCUAAGAUGAGAGAGAAGAUUCGAGAGUAUAAUAAAGAGAAAGAGAAACAUCCUUUCUACGUUUCUUCCAGUCUUCCCGAGUUCGCAAGCACAUCUGACUUUGUGAAAUUUCCCAUUUCAAACACAGGAAUAAAAUAUACUGCACCUAGAAGAAACCAGCCAAAAGUUCAACGUUCACUUGUGACUUACACAAGGUUUCGCCUCGCGGAGUUGGAAGACAAGGAUUUCUCAUUCCCAGAAGAGAAGAUGCUUGAGAAGAAUCGGCUUUUGGAAAAAUUGAACUUUGAAGAGCGACUGCAACUUGAUGCAUUGAUGUCGAAAGAUGUGAAGUACAAGCCUCGAAUGAUCCCCGAGAAGGGAUUUCUGCAGUUGCAAGAUGAAAAGUUGAUUCUAAAAAGAUUAUGUGAAAAGGAAGAUGAAUGGUCUGGAAAGCAGAAAAGACGAUUCCCAGAUCUAUACGAGCAAGCAACUCAAGAAGCGGAGCGUCUAGGUGACCCUGAUGCAAGUACCAGCGGUACCAGCAACAAGGAACUCGGCCUUCUUCCUGUCUGGAAGCACGACGAUUUUCGUGAUUUGAAAAAAAUCAAUGUUCUAGGAUCCAAAGAGUAUCCCAUCAGUAGCCCUUAUCUUAUCAAGAGAUUGCACUAUGACAUUCACCUGGAAAUAGUCAGAGAUAAACUCAAGUCAUGGAUAUACAGAACGGAAUUAUGGGAGAAGAUGAAGCCCGUCUACGAACGAUUGAAAAGGGAUAAGGAAAAGCGUGAGAAAGAGUGGCAUGAGAUGAGAGCUGCACAAAGGGCACAGAAAGAGAAAGAGGAAGAAGAUCAGCGUCGCAUGGAUAUGGGUAUAGAGCAUGGUCAGGAAAGUUUAUUGAAAAGCAUUACCCCAGAAGUGGAGCAACAAAUACUACUCCCCAUAUCCAGAGAAAAUAGUUUUGAAGAAAUGCUUCCAGCUCCGCAAGAAGCAUAUGAUGAAGAUCUUGAUCAAGAUAUAGACAUUCAUUUCGACGGUGCUGAAUCAGUAUGUACUGGAAUUCGUCUUGACUCGGAAGAUCGUGAGCUUGUGGACUCUCCUGAUCAAGUUGAGAAUGAGGAGCCAGAGAGAGUUGAAGCAGUAACUGAGAAUAUUCGACAAGAAAUGUCGGACGCAGAAAUGAGAGAUCUGAUGAGGAAGAAACGAGAACAAUACUCUAUGCUUUUCCCAAAUGUACCACAGCCAUUCCAACCGUUGAAUCGAUUUGACGUGACGGCUCCCGGAGCAGGAAUCGUUCCCCCGUAUGAUGAAGCACCCGAUUUUGAUCUGUCCGCUUACUUGGAAGAGGAUCAUGUGAGGAUUCCAACAUUGUCGACAGUAGAGAUAAAUUCACUUUUAAAAGAUCAGGAUUUAGUUGAGGAGCAAGAAAUAGUUGAAGAAGAAGAAACACCACUUGUUGUGGAAGAGCCUGAUAUUCCUGCGGCUCCUGUUCUAUCGGCCGAAGAGAAAGCGUCAAGGAUUUCUCGCGAGAUGUCUGCACUUCGGAAACUUCCUGAUGCAGCUUUCAACUAUGCAAGUGAUAGAGAUGGCGUUGUAGUGGAAGAAGUGGAAACAAUAGAAGAGAUUCAAGAAAUCUAUAAUGAUAAAUUGGAGAAGAUGAUCGCAGCUCGGCUAGGAAGUAUAGCUCAAGGCGCCAACAUCGAAAGAUUAUCUGAAGAUCAACUUCUCGGGGAUCAAGGUUCAGAAGAUAUUUCUUUUGAAGAGAUUCAGGUUGACUUGCUGUUGGAAAGUGGUGUUGAGGUGCAAGUAAAUCAGUCGGUUACAAUUUCAAGAUCUUCUACUUCGUUCGAAUCACUUCUCGUAGAAGAUCCGGAAGAACACCCAGAACAGCUUCCGGUGUCAGCUUCAGAAAAAGCUAACAAUCAGAUUGUUCCAGAAGUUGAAGUUGAAGGAUCGGUUGUUCCGGUAACUAAUCAACAAGAAGAAAAUGUGACUUCAGAGGGACCAACUUUACAGGGUAAGUUAAUUUAUUUUUUGAAGCUUCAGCAAUCGAAUAAUAUUUUUCAGAAGGAUCAUCCAUCCCAUCGUCUUCACAUAUUUAUACUGUAGACGAACUACUCGGAACGGAGUCUCCUGGACCCGAAGCUACUGAAACCCCUGUCGCUGAAGAAUCACCUAAAAAGAAGUCUGGGAAAACAACACGUGGACGUCCGAAGAAAGUGAAAGAAAAUUUGAAGAAAAGAAUUCAGCCGAGAAGAGGACAGAAAGAAGAGGCUGCACAUGAGCCAGAAGUAGUAGAGGAACAAGAACAAGUAGAACCGGAAGUUGGUCCAGAAGUUGUACACGAACCUGUACCUGCACCAGCAGCUCAACUAGAAACUGAGCCAAUCGAGCAACAAAUUGAAGAGCCAGGUAAGUAUUGUUGAUUUUUCUUUAAAAUUCAAAAAAAAAUUUCAGAUAAAGUUUUCGAACCAAUUAUUGAGGCGCUGCCGUUAUUUGAGACAUCACCCGUGCCUGCACCAGAGGGAAAUAUUCCCAGCCGAGCUCAUUCUAGCGAUGACGAUGUUCAAGUUAUCUCGUCUGAAACCGAUCCGAAUGGACCGAUCAAUCUGGUUGAGCAAGUUCAAAACGAUAAACUUACCGCGUAUCAGUACUCGACUGAAGAGCUGCUGGGUGAAUACGGAGAACUGGACGAAGCAGGUGCACCAUCGCCGUCGGAGAUUGUUGUACAUGAUGAGGUUCUACAAGAUGAGGUUUUGCAACCAAAUCCUAAAAGUUCAAAGAAACGAGGACGCCGAAGGAAGAAAACUCCACCGCAUAUUGCUAAGGCCAGAAAAGUUUUUACUUCGAUUUCGAAAACGGAAGAAAUUGAGCUGGCUCCUACUCCGACACAACAAUCACGCAAAAGAAUGGCCAAUGUCAGUUCCGAAGAAGCUACAGCUACAAGAAGACAAAAAAGAGCCAAAGUGGAAGAACCAAAUGAUAGUGAUGUUUCAAGAGUACUUACUCCGGAGCCAGAAGAUUUACAUGAAACUGAGAGGCCUGGGCAUGUAGGAGAGGAAGGAUUUGAAACACCAUCCCUAAGAACAGGAAGGGAAUCAACUGCAUCUAGUGUCAAAACAAGUAGAAGCAAACGUCUUUUCCUUUCCAAAAACAAUCCGGUUCCACGUAUGCGUAUACAAUCUCAAGCAGGUACUAAUGCUUCACCAACACCUGCCAGACGGACGGGAGUUGCAAGAGAUUCUGUUUCACCGGAUGGAGCUUCUGAGAAACUGAAACAACUCCCAAAAUCUGUGCAGGACAUAUUUGAGGUGUUCGAUGUGGAGAGAUCGGCAGAGAGAGGAGAAUCUGCGACAGUGACGAACUUAGAAGGGUGAGUUAAAUUUGUGUGGGAUCAUGGGGAUUUAAAAGUGGAAGAUCAGAUACCAUAAGUUUCGAUAAAUAAAGAUUAGAAGAAAUGCAAUAGCUCUACCUAGGUCUGGCACCACACAAUGGCGUACCAUAAGUGGAAGCUCAGAAACCAUAGGUUUAGAUCUGAUACCAUAAGUGUGAGAUAUAGAACGAUUAAUUAGAGGAUGAGAUUUAAACUAGAUGCUAUUGGUGAAAGAUCAGAUGACAUCGGUUGAAGAUCAGAUUUAGAAGGAGAGACUUUUUUACUCAACCAUGCAAAUAUCAUUUUCUGAUUAAUUAUUUUUCAGACCAGUGAAAAUAGAAAUCGAAGAUGAAAACUGGAUGGCACCUCCAGCAAUCACAGAAACCUCUCGCAAAUCCAAGAAACGACUCCGUGCGGAAAAGCAGCAACAAAUUCUGGACGAUAUAAAACUUGAACUCAACGGAGAACCCCCGCAGAAACGAGAAUGUGAAAUUUUGAUGGAAAGGGUUCAAGUGAAAAUUGAGGAAGGUGUGGAGAAUGCGGAUUGCCGUAUUGUGCAAGCAAACUUCAACUGUAAAUCCGUUGAGGAGCACGAGACACUUCCGUUGAAGAUUAUUCGAGUUUUUGAGGAAAAUGAGAAGCCGGUUCACAAGUUUUUCAUGACACAGAUUAUUUGGAAGGAAAUCAAUGAAGCUUUCAUGACGGAUCCGGAGAAGUUUAUGCUUCUGGUACGCAUUUUGUUCAGUGAUCGAAACAUUAGUGGACAAAUUUACAGUAAGUCUUUGAUUGAAAAAAACGUUUUUAUGUCUGUUGUGUAUUUUUCCAGAAAUCAGCAUGACCGUUACUGAUAGAAUCAAAGGUUUUGACGACGAUUUUAUCAAGCUGUUAACACAAUUCCCGAAGAAAUUAUCACAAGAGCACAAGCCACGUAAGUUCAAAUUUCUAGAAGGUUUAUAACUUUGAACUUUAAUUUUCAGUAGUUGAUUACAACAAAUUAGCACACGCUCUUCGCGAAAAAGCUUCACUUCAUCUCAACAAUCACGUAAGUAAAUGUUCUCUUUCAAAUGGAAUGUUUUUUUCUUCAGAAAAUCACUCCAUUUACUUUCCACGGAGUCAUUUCGAAUAUAACUGAAAUGAAGGAAAAAAUUAUUGGACGAUGUGAAAUUGGGAUGUUGACAGAUGGAGAUCGAGACGUGCUGAACUCAACGGAGAAUAUGCUACUUGGAGCAUACAUGAAAAGUGUGCUCCGUAUGACUGCACAAUCACAGGUGUCGUGGGCACAUCCAGAGUAUAUUAAGAGAAGAUUGGUGAGUUUUUUAGACCGUAUUUUUUUAUUAGACUUGCGCUCCUUGCUUCAAUUUGACAGUUUUUAUCUCACAUGUGCAAAUCUAAAAGAAAAAAUACUGAAUGAAUUUAAUUUGAAUUUUUGUUAACUUUUUAACCAGCAAGAAAUGUUUCACUGAUGGAAUAUGCUUGCACUCUUUUUCAUGAAAGACUGACUUUCCAGGAAAUGAUCUACUAUGGCUGGCGGAUGUUCCUCGGAAGUGGUGGAUUCUUCCGUGUUGCUCUUGCCAUCAAUCGGAAGGACGUGAAGCCAAUGAGUCAACAGUUCCGAGACUUUUUCAUCGAGUAUCUAAAAGAUGUAAAUGAAAAUUAUGCGAAAGCGGUAGAAUUGGUCCAAAUGGAUGAAGACAAACUGAUGGAAGCUAUGAUUGAAAAAGCGGGUUUGUCAUCGAUAGAUCUGCUGGCUUUGGAUGAAGAUGUUCAGGGACAAGUUAGUGAGAGGUAUGAUUUGGUUCAGAACCCACAAACACAAUUCUGUACUAUAAAAAUAUUGUCAAAGAUUUUAAAAAGAAAAUUGUAUUUUCAGUCACAAACAUAAAUGCGUUCAAUGUUCAAUCCGUAACCAAUCCGUAUACUUCUCGUCAUAUUCACUUUUGGAGCUACACGGAAAACUUCACCAAAACCUGCACGAACUUGCUCCGGAAGACGCAGAUGACUGUCAAGAUUGCUAUGAAACGUUGACAUCAUCAUUUGAAGUUAUCGUUCAUCGAAUCAAUCACCAUCAUUCUCGUCGUUGCUUCUUUGCAGACGAUUGAAAUUAGUUUUACAAUUUUAUCACAACCAGUGAUUUUCGACAUAUCUGGAUAGUGAACUUGAAAUAUAUAUUAAUUGAAAAGAAAAAGAGAAUACAAAGAAUCUCUCAUGCCCCCCGUUUAUUAUAAUUAAUUGAACUCAUUCCCAACAGAUCUUGAAUUGUUUUGUUUUGUAUAUUAUGAACAUAUUGAAUGAAUUUUGUGAUAAUUAAUUUCAAAACUAAACUGCAAAGAAGUUUUUUAUGAAAUGGCAAAAGUAAAACUAAAUAUUUAAAUUUGUAUAUUCAAACUAUUUUUUUUGUAAAUUUAAAAUUUUGAUUUCCGUGAACUCAAAAAAACUUUUGAAGAAAUCUUGAAAACAAAUUUGAUUUAAAUUUCAAAACGUGACAAAACUUCAAAGGCCAAACUGAUUUUAUCAGUGCCCCCCUCAAUCAGUUUCCAAAAAUUCAGUAUUCAAAACUUGUCCAUAUAUUGGAAUUUUCGACGAAUAAAGAAGUACCAGCUGGAAUUGAAAGAUCUGAACGAUGAUCUCACUGGUUUCUUUGAUUGCCACAGCCUCGGCUACUAGUACCGUACUCGCCAUGGGCUCCAGCAAGGAUCGACAAGCGGUAAGUGUUUCAGUUUGUUCCGGUAAUUCAAGGAUUCAUUUUCAGGACCGUAAAAAAUCAAUCUAAAAAGGCAUCCGCAACCAAGUCGUCUCGUGCUUCAAAAAGUCAAAAAUCCGCGAAGUCGACGAGAUCUGGAAAGUCGUCCAAAUCUGGACACUUAAGCCGUGGAAAGCCUUCAAAAUCCAAGAAGUCGAAAUCAAAGAGCGUUAGACCUCUUGCAGUCCCCGGAGCACGGGGAGCUCCUAAGUCGGAAUCGAAGAAGCUGAGACGUGACAAGGACAAGUCGUCGAAAUCAGAAAGAUCCAGAAGAUCUUCAAAGUCUAAGAAGUGCGACAAGUCGGCCAAGAAGUGUGACCUGAACAAGGCGAAGGUGAUUUUUUCCACAGUUUUGAAUAUAAAAACAAUUCAAAAAAUUUCAGAACCUCUGCCCACCGGUCUCAGUUGUUUCCGAUGCGUCCAUCAAAUCAAAUUCUGGGGAGAAGUCCGAGAAAUCGAAGGCUCUCAAAUUGGUUCCCAAUCAGUCGAACUACACAUUCCCGGAGGGACAGGGGACUGCCUCAGUGAAGACAUCCACCCUUCGUGCUUCACCCAACAAGCUGCCAUUCGCAACAACGGGUGGUGUUCAGACAGUUAGCAUCGCGAACAACACCAAGUCGAGAAAGGCGUUUAAGGUAAGCUUUGGCCUUUGGCUUGGGCUUUGGCUUCAGGCUCAUUAAAAACAAUAGCUUUCAGGUCAAAACCUCUGACAAUCUUCUGUACCGUGUCAACCCAGUCUUUGGAUUCGUUGAGCCGGGAGACAAGCUUUCGAUCGAUGUGCUCCGUCACAAUGGUGUUGAGAAGACUGAUCACAUGAUUGUCUUAACAUCCAAUGCUUCAUCAGAACAAAAUUGUGCCAAAGGAGUCUUCGAGAGUGACCAACCACGCGAGCUUACCGUCAUUCCAUUGGUGGUCAACUAGAUUCUACAUAUCUGCCUCCCUAAAGAAAGUGUCUCGAAGUUCAAUUAUUUGAAAGUGUGUGAAAUUUGAUGAAUUUUUGAUUGAAUAAAAAUGUUGAUGGCGGUGUUCUGUGUUUUUUUGGUUCUGAGCUAUUAUGGUUACCAAACGUACGAAACAAUAAACUAUUUUCUCCUUUUUCAUGAAUUACUCGGUAACUGACUUUCUCACGGAAGUCUUGUGAGAAAGCGCCUCUGAGUUGGGCUUUUGGUAGAGACGCGGAUCAUAUUAGCCUUUUUCUCGCCCGUGAGGCACCUCCAAUAAAGUGUGAGGUGCAGAAAAAACAAACUAACAUUUUUGUCGCAGUCACCGAGGACCUAGGAUGAGUUCAACUCUCCACCACGGGAAAAUUUUUUGCGAAUUUUUUCAUCCCAAAAAAAAAAGAAAAAAAAAGGUCCAGAAAAAACAAACAAACAUUUUUGUCGCAGUCACCGAGGUUAAUUUAAUUGGUUUGAAGAGGUACAUGGUGAUUACAAAUAGGUGGAGAUGACGGGUGUACAGUGUCCCCAAUUUUCAUAGUAUCAUGCCGAAAUUUGACAAAGGGAUAGGGUUAAUAGACCGAUUUUGUAAGAAAAUCUACAGUAUGACUUAGAAAUACUGUAGACUUAGAAUUUUAGACCCCCGAAAGUAGUAAAACAGAUGCACUUAUUUAACAAACAUAUGUCAGAUCGACGUUUCUCAGUUUACAGUGCUCCUCAAUAUUUUCGACAAUUGUAAUAAGGUUUUUCGGAAUAGUGCAAGGGUAUACACGUAAAGCAUUAAUAUAAAAAAGGGUUUGCCAAUUAAAAAAUGUGGGAAAUCCAAUAUCCACAAAAUAAAGAAUACGUGAACAAUGCGUGCAACUCCACGUUGAACCAUUUAACCUUUCAAAUUAAAAAAUAGAUGAAGCAAAACAGCAAGUGAAUCAGUUCUCAGUUUUCAAAAACUACAACUUCGGAGUAAUGGAAAAAGAGAAAAGUAAGACGGAGAGUUUGAAGAAGGACGAAAUCGAUGAGGCAAACUCAGAAUCUUCAAAAGUGCCACUAGCAAUUGAUCCAGAGG
rnacentral:sRNA from 1 species